UUCUCUCCAUAAUUCAUCCUAUCAAGUUGCUUUGGUGAAGGCAACCCAAAAGGACCAUGCACCAUCGGGUCAAGUACAUACCAAAAUAGUUAUCGACUUAGACACUAAUCAAACAAUAACAUCAUCCUAUAAACCAGGAUACCGACCCUAACCAGGUCUCUAACAUAUACCAUCCUAACUACCAAGAUGCAAACAUAACAAAGCAAUAACAUAACAGACAACUACUCGGAUUUUCAUUCGAUAAAGGGCCGACCUUGGUCCGUAGACCAUGUCGAUAUAGUGAGGAUAACUCACCUCGCAACUUCCGAAACUCUGAACUGAAGAAGCAGAUGCCCGAACCACCAUCUCACCAAGAAUCCCAAACUAUCCAAAGUAGCAAAAUAACCAUUAGCCCAAGCACAAUAUCCUUCCAAGGGUAAAUUGACCAUUUUACCCUUAACCCAAACCGGUCCAUGACUAAAGCCCAAUACCAGAAUAUGAAGGGCCCAACACUAGGUAAGCUUCUCAAGCCCACUACUGACCCACUAAUGGCCCAAUUUGCUACAUUGGGCCCAAUCCCUUAAUGUGCCUCAUCCUAAGCCCACAAUAUAUUCCUUGGUCCAUAUAAUAUGAUUUCUGAUGGCCCAUUAAGGCCCAAAUACCCAAACAUGCCCCAAACCACGGCCCAAAACUCAUGAUCCAUACAGACAGAGUACGCAAGNCCCCAUGUACGCUAAGCGUACAGGAAGAAUGGUGAGUACGUGGGGCGUACAUCACUUUACGCGGGGCGUAAACUCGCUGAACUAAAAGUCCUCAUAAGUCCUUAAUGGCUUAAGCUCUUAAGCCCAAACUUCAGAUCCAUCGACCAAACAUGCCUAGGAUCCAUAAAGUCUCAAAUUUUAUCACUUGGGACGUCCAUAAAUCUCUUAACUCAAGGUCUUAAUCCAUUAAGACCCACCUACAUCGUACAUGAGACAACCAAAGCCAUUGGGACCUCAUUUUUCAUGCUCAAGACCUCUCCUAUGGUCUGAAAGGACAACUAAUCUCGACCAACUCACAUCAUGCAUCAUUUUGGGGUUUAGGGGACAAGAAAUGAUGUCAAAACUUCACAACACCAAGAUCCACACAAAAUAAAUGUCAAGCAAGAGACUUUAUACCUUAAAAGGGCUCUAGAAGAUGAUGCCUUCCCAGAUCUAUGAGCUCCAGCCACCCAACUCCUUCCUUGACCACUUCCUCUUUUCCUCUUCUAAGCUUAAACCACCAAGAUGAGCUUUCCAAGGCCAAGAUCUCUAGAAAUGGAGGUUAGAACGUUCUAGGGUUUCUUUUGAGGUUAGGGAGGCUGAUAUGGGGCUAGGGUUGAAGCCAUAAGGUUCUAUAUAUAGUGGCUCACCCUCAAAUUAGGGUUUAAAGACUCUAGACGUACGUUGGGCGUAGAUCCAGUACGCUGAGCGUACGCCCCACAGACCCGCUUUCAUUUAACCAAUUACGCUUGGCGUAACCCAGCCUAUACUGGGCGUACCCAUGCAUGUCCCAUUCUCAUGCAUGGCCUUCCUUAACAACUUUUCCCAUUAAGGGCUAUAAAUGUCAAUAUCUUCAAAAUGUCAUAACUCCUUUAUUCUAAGCCCGUUUCCGACGAACCUUAUAUCCACGCGAAGGUGGCGAGAAGCCCUAUGCUUCUAUCAACAUAUACCGGUCCGAAACCUUCUCGAAUAAAACCCAUUUCCUAUAAAAGACCAAAACGCCCUUACUCUUGAUCCCGGGGAACCAUGAAUAAUUACUCUUAGAACGGGGCGAUACACAAAUAAUGUUCUUUUCCUUAUGAUUUCCCUAUUACAUAAUGGAAUUGAAUUAGACCAUGUCACCCUAGUUAUUAGCAAUGGACAUGGUUGUCCACAGAAUAAUGAACAUUAUUGGCUUUUUCUUUCACUAAAACCAUCUUUGUAAAAAGAAGAAGAAACUGUAUCUUGCAAAUAACUGCAAAGUUUGAAUAAGUUUAAGUUUACAUGUAUAUUAUCCAUCCGAAUUUGUUAUAUUGGCUUAUUUCUUGCACUUUUACAAGAACAUUGGUUUCUUUGCAACCACUUUUUUUUAAGAAUGGAAUGAGUUUGCCUUUCAUAUAGAAUCUUACAUUUAGUUCAGACAACUUUUAAUUUUUUAAUUUUAUUGUAAUCAUAAGUCUGUUUAAAAGGACUGAUUUUAUUUUGUUUGUAAUGUAAGUGACGAUUGCAACGACACAGACAUAGCUACCAUGUGGUUAUCUUCCUCUUAAACUCUCAAAAACUCAAAUUAAUUUGAUUUGAAGGUUAAUGAAUUUUUCUCAUGUACUAGAAAAAAGAUAUAUAAAAUGUCAAAAAAAUGUUUUUUUGGUAGAAAUGGAAUAAUGUAAUUGAAAUACAUGGCAAUUUGCAUAUCCUUUAUCGUAUGCAUUCAAUAUAUUUGUUUUGUAAUCAUGGUUAAAGUUGGUUGAUAAACUGAUUACAAACAUUGUAAAAUUUGACAUUAAAGAUCACAUUUUCACCUUCACUUACCAAAAAAGUGAAAACCACCUAUGUCGGAUCAAAGUAAGCAACAAUGCCAAACCAGCUUGGGUAGGAGGGAUACAUUUGGAAAUGGGUGAAUAUACAUUGUUAUUAUUUGGUGCAUUCUAAAAUUGAAAAUAUGCAUAUGUUCGUUCACUUAUUGUUUAUAAUAUUUAGAUUAAGGCAAAUCUUUAGAAAAGUUCUAAUAUAUUACCCUAAUUUAUGAAAAUGUCCAAACUAAAAUAUGUUUAUGAAAAAACAUGAAUUACUAGUAAAAAUGACGAUUUGACCCCUUUAUCUCAGUUUACCUGUUUCAUUACUUACAUAUUUUCACUAAAGCCCCAUUAUUUUACACUAAUUUACGAAUAAGUCUUAAAAUAAAAUUUAGUAAUGAUUUGACCAUUUCUCCAUAUAACAUAUAUUUUACCGAUUUCAUUACUGACAUGGACAUCUAGUCAUUAAAUUAGCUGAUAACAUGGAUACGAUGAGUUUUAUAAUGCUACAUUACUGUAAAUUAUGAUAUCCAUCUUAUCAGCUCAUUUAUGCUUAUGUAUUUAGGUGAGCAAUGAAACCAAAAAAGUAUGUGUUUCUAGGAAAAAAGGGCAGGAACUAAGUUGGUGUGUGAUGAGAUAGAUAUAUUAGGUUAUAUAAGAUUAGAUAGACAAUUUGAAAUUUCUUAUAAAAGUAAAAAAUGACGAAGUUGUUGCUAGUUUAUGUAAUUAUUGUAGUCUUCAUUAAAUGCAUUUUAUAUUCCAAAAAAAUAUACAAUACAUCAUGAUAUCAAGUUUUAUAGUAAACUUGGGAUUUUAUAACUCAACAUAUCCAUAUCAUUAGCUCAUUGAAUGACUAGACGUCUAGUUCAAAAAGUAAAUCGGUAAAAUGUAUGUUACAGGAAAAAAAUGAUCAAAUCAUAACUAAAUUUUAGUUUAAAACUUAUUCAUAAAUGAUGGGAAAAUAAUGAGACUUUAGUGGAACCAAGUAAUGAAACCGGUAAAGCGGAAAAAUGGGUUAAAACAUUAUUUUUAUUGGUAAUUUGUUUUUUUCGUAAACAAAUUUUACUUUGAAACUUUUUUUAUAAAUUAGGGUAAAAUAUUAGGAUUUUUUUACAGAUUUUCUUUAGAUUAAUCCAAUAACUAGAAAUAUACCUUUGUUACCUUAUUCCUCAGAGCUUUAUAUUGAGUUUUACAUAACGUAUUUGUGGUAAUUAAAAAAAUUAAUAAAAAAAAUUAAAAAGAAAAAAAAAACCCGACGUGGGGCACUUUUCUCCUAGUUAUAUUCAAUUUGUAAAAAGAAAUGUAAUCUCUAAAUAUUAUUAAAAGAGAAACCUUAUGACAUCAUCUAAAACAAUCUGUACCAUUGAUUGUGUUUUCUUUAUACAUUUUACACCCUUAGAUCAAUUUGCUUACGUCACCUUGAUCAAACAAGAAGUCAAUCCGUUAUAUUAGGAAAUUAAAUGUAGGAAUUGAAUGAAAAUGAUACUUGAAUUCUUUCCAAACUUACAACUACAAAAUUGGUUCCUUAUUAAUGUAAACCUUAAAUUUAGACUCUACUUCCAUUCAAAAUUGCUUUCCAAAUACAUUAUAUGUUGAAAUCUCGGAAACUAUUAAUUUCAAAUUUCAAAAGUUUCGGAUAUUUUUAUGAACCAAUACACUUUCAAGCAUGAUAUCUUCUAUUUUAAGUUGAAAUGUGAUUUCAAUUGAUUACCUGCUAAUUUUCAUCAUAUUGACUUGUAUAUAUAUUUCAAACCUUUUUAAUAAUCGAUUUACACAAAGAUUAUGUCAUAAUUCCCACGUAAAAAACAAAUGCAAAAAAACUUCAACCUUCCCAUCAGUCUGAUUAGUCGAAUAAAUGUAUGUAUUUCUUCCUUAAAUCAUUUUAAUCUGUAAGUUUGAUAUUGUUUUCGAAAUUAUAUGUUUUUACUUAUUCGUAUGGUUCUUUGUUGGAUACUUAUAAUUUGGAUGUAUAAUGUUGUUUUUGAAUUUUUUUUUUGAUGUUGUGUUCGGUUCUUGGUUCCAUCUUUUUAAUCGGUAACUAUGAUCCUAUUUUCGAAAACAGUAAACUCAAUGUUAAAAUUGGAUGUUAAAUAUAAUGAAAUUAUGAUGUUAUAUGUGUGUAUACCUUUGUAAAAAAUAAUAGACAAGACAAGAGAUGGCAUGACAUAAUAUAACAGACAGGUUGUACAAAAGACAUGAACGCUCUCAUUAGAAAUUUUUUUUAUGUCUUCGGUAGUAACAAAAUAAGAAUAAGAAAUAUACCUUCUCAACAAUUGAUGUGAGCUUUAAAGUUAAAUAUAAGCAUGUUGUGAAAGAUGAAAAUAGGCUUCCGUAUUCUUUUUAAAAAUAGAAUCGGUACCAUACAUGGGCAGGUAAGAAUGCACGGUAUAAUAGAAGUGUGCACUCAACUAGAGUCAGCAUUUGACCCUGAAAUACCAAGAACGCCCCUCAUAACCUUCUGAAAAAAAAACAGGUAUACUCAAGGACCAAAAAUGUAAUCUACUCUAAACUUAAGUAAAAAAAAGAAAAAAAAAGAAAAUAUAAAUUUUGUUGUUAUGCGAUAUGUUUUUUAGUUUGGUUCAAAGGCAAAAUGGUGAUUUAAAAAAAAAAAAAAAAACUAAUAGCUAGGCUGUUUACUUAGGCAAUCAUAAAAGUUUUAUGAAACAGUGAAACAAGGUCCAAACACUACAACCUGAUUCUUUUAGGGACCAAAACCAAAAAAAUCAACUAAACACAGGGGACCAAAUAUGUAAACCACUAAAAAUAAAUGAAAAAACUUUUGUUUAUACUGACCCCCCACCCCCCAGACACACACACAAUUUUGAGGUCAUGGUGGUGGAUAGAGCUUCAUCACUUCUGCCUUUAAUUUGCUCUUUGCUUUAUAGUAACGAAUGUUCUUUGCUACUACUGGAUCAUUUCUUGCACGUUCANGGAAUGUUCUUUACUACCACUGGAUCAUUUCUUGCACGUUCAGGAUCCAUUGAUAUAAUCCCUGUUGUAUUUCAAAUUCAAUAACAAAAUUAUAAUUAAUUAAUUUCUCAUUGAAGUUAAUAAAUUAUAAACUUAUCUCACUUCCUGCUCAUCCAAGUUUUCUCAUUGCUAUAGCAUCACGAAGUUGAUCAUAUCGCAUAUUUUUCUAAAUAAGAAACACUAAUAUCAACAAAAGAAGCUAUUUAAUUUCGUAAUAAAGUUGAAUUAAAAAAUAAGUAAAUAAAUAAAUAAGAAAUAGAAGAACCUUGUAUUACCACCAUAUUUUAUGUUUGACAUCAUCACCAUAUUUAAAUCCUCCCAUAAUUUGAGGCAUUGUGAUUAACCAAAAUGCAACAAUGCUUGGAUCUUUCAUGCUAUCAAUAAUAUGCUGAAACACAAAAGUAGAUGUUUUGAAGUGAGAUAAUUGUUACAAGAGGAAAAGGGGUAGAAUCGUAAUUGGCAUUUACCUCAUAAGGGUUUUUUGUUUUUUUUCAUUAUGUUGUAAGUUUUGCAUGGAGGCUCGAUAAUUUGCAAAGUAAAUAAAACUAAAGGGGUGUUUCUUUUUUCCUUCAUUAAACUCUAUAGUGAAUGACUAUAUGGAUAAAGUGUUCUAUACAUAAAGAAUGUAGAUAGAGAUGGAAAAUAAAACGGAAUGGAUUAUGAGAAAUCACAAAAAAUAAGAACCAAACCUAGGAACCAACAUUGAACAAAAACCCUAUUUUCUUUACUUCAAAAAAAAUCAACAUACCUGCAUAUACUCAAAACCGUAGAAAGAAUUUCACAAACAAAAAUGCUAUUUCAUAAAAAAAGGAGCCUGAAAAAAAAAGAUGGUGGUAAACUAAAGAAGGCAUAUCAAAAUCAACAAAAAAACAAUGAAGAUAUAAACAUAAAUGAUGGACCUGAUAAAUCAUUUCUAUCAUAUUAUCCCUAAAAUAAAAAAGAAGCCAUCAAUGAAUCUUAACAUUAUCGGUGAUAGUGACAAUAACUUAGAUUAAGUAAAAAAAGAUCUGAUAUUAGAGAUGAAGUGGAGGGAGAUGAUUAGCUUCGUUGCAGAUUUAUUGGUUAUAGUUUCUUUAUAUUAAAUAUUGUGGGGGGUUUUAUGUGGUUCAUUUUGAAAGAACAUAAAUAAGUUGCUAUUUUUUGAAAUAAACAGUUAUAUUUCGCAAUAUAGCCAUNUAUACUUGUUUAGACCCAUUUUCACGCAUGGUUGGCUGUAUAUAAUUGUUUUCCGUGUCACAAAUAAAAAAUGUUUGAAGAUACUUAUAUGUGACAAGCAAUGUCAUUGAGCUAAUAAAACAAAAAAAAAUUGUCUAUAAAGAGGUCCUUCAACGCUAUAUAUAUUUACCUAUUUUAGUGUAAUUUCUACAUAUUUCAAUAAUACCAACAACCCUAUUUUUUAUAAUUAUUUUGUAAUAUCUAUAUAAAUUUGCAUUUUAUUUAUGUGUUCCCCGUGUUUAACACGGGUCAUAAUCUAGUACUUUUCUAAAUUUUACUUUUUGAAAAAAAAAAAAUGAAUGAACAUGGACGUGCUGAUAAUCUUUUUCAGUGGUUAGAUCCCAAAGACAAAAAUCCAACUCAUUAAGGUAGAUGCCAUUACCACUUGAUGAAGUUCGUUGAAACAUAUAAAUAUUGUUAUUUUAUGGCGGCUAAUUUUAGUCAUGUGUUAAAUUGGUGUUAUUUAUUCAAAACCAAAUAACUUUUUUAAUUUUCUCGUUACUUUAUGUUAAGGGGUUAUAUCUUUUUAACACCUAUUCGUCACUAUGAUACCAUCAUCCAUGAUUGUAAACAAAGUAGUUGAGUUUUGUAUAUCACCGGGUAUGUAUUUUAAAGUGAUGACAUUUGCAUUUAUGUCCUACUAUAGAGAUGGAUAUAAAGUAUAAACACAAUAAAUUAAAUAAUACUUGGAUUUAAUCAAUAUACCAUUCAGGGAUAACCUGUUAAUCUAUAGAUCACUUAAUAGUUAAUACAAAUAAGUACUUUUAGGACAAACUCGGGUACAUUAAUGUAACACGACAAAAAUACACGAAACAAAACGAAAUUGGGACGAAACUGAAAUUUGAAUUCAUGUUCGUGUCGUGUUCAUGUUAACAGUAAAAAACACGAUGGCGUGCCGUGUUGUGUUCGUGUUCAAAAUUCGACACAAUUUAGUAGUUUUUUAUCAUGUUUUUCGUGUUUGUUGUGUUAUAUUUGAUAAAGUAUUAAUUAAAUAAACUAGUUUUUAGUAUACGUUAUAUUUGUCUUGUCGUGUUUGUCGUUUUUUAAUUCGUUCGUUUUCGUGUUAGUUAGAAAAAUUGUGUUCAUGUUACAUAAAACAUUAUCAUGUCGUGUCGUGUCAGACAGAAACACGAAAUGAUAGCACGAUUUGCCACCCCUAAUAUUAUCGGCGAUCACCCUCAACCUCGAGAAAGCGAUCCUUCCUUUUGUAAAUGGCGCAUAGAGAAUGCCAUGGUGAAAGGUUGGCUGAUUAAUUCCAUGGAUCACUCCUUGAUUGUGAACUUCAUUCGUUAUUUGACGGCUAAAGUGGUAUGGGAUUCCGUUGAUAUGAUAUAUUUUGAACUGACACUGUCAAGUGUAUGAACUCCGACGACGUAUGUCUCGAAUGAAGCAAUUAGGUCUAUAUUUAAAAGGUAUAUAAUUUAAUCAAACGGUUUUGGUAGAAAAAUCGGGUAAAUAUGAGAUAUUAAAAGGUUUAAAUACAUUAGAGGGGCUAAAGUGCCAAUAAAAUAAACUUAAUAUGUUGAGGAGACUAGCAUUGGGGUAGGAAGAGCAUAAGGCUGAAAGAUGUAACAUCCAUAAAAUUUCAGUAAAAUUUAAACUUUCCAAAACAAUCUGUUUUCUAUAGAAGUGUUUACAAAAUCGUUGUUCCAAAACAUUUGUUUAAAAAACCAGAAUCAUUUACACAUAGUUUUUAAAAGAUUCUCAUUAUCAGAAUUUCCCAGAAACUAUAAGUCCAAAAUGCAAGGAUGUGUACGGUCAUGCAUUCGCUUUGCCAACAUUUGAAGCACUUGAAACAAUAAAAUGAAACCGUAAGCACAAAGCUUAGUGAGUUCCCCCAAAGUACCAACACACAAACAGUAGCACAUAUACAAAUAAAAGCAUGCAUAGAGAGUCUUCAGCAUGACUGGACUGCCAAACUGGGCCUUCAGUCUAUUUGGCCCACUCUCAGAACCUUCAGCAUGUCUGGUCUGCCCUACUGGGCCUUUAGCCUAUCUGGAUCGUUCUCUGGAUAUAGAGUCUUCAGUAUGACUGGACCGCCCUCACUGGGCCUUCAUUCUGGCCCACUCUCAGAACCUUCAGCAUGUCUAGUUCGCCCUUAACUGGCCUUCAGCCAGUUUGGACCGUUCUUCGGGCCUUCGGCCUAACUAGUACGCCCUGAUGGGUCUGCAGUCUAUCUGGGUCGCCCUGGGUAUGUUGGCCUUCAACACAAAGCAGGACCGCCUCAACCCAACUACACACAUACAAGCCAUGUUGCCAUAUAACAGGUAAGCAUACAUAUAGUGUACCGAUAUAAACAUUUUCAGGUUUGUUGACUGGUAGCACAAAGCAAUACAGUCUCAACCCAAACAUACUAAGGUAGAUCUAACAGAUCACUAAUCAUAGGAUCAUCCUAUCUACGAGGAUACCGAUCUACAGAUCAUAACAACAUAUGAACAUUGUAUCUACCAAGAUAACGAUCAAACAUAUCAUAACAACAUACAAGCAUAUGAUAACCAGGAUAACAAUCCAAAGGGUCGACAUUGGUGCCUUCGACCCUGCUAGUACAGUGAGGAAAAUUCACCUCGUGCUACCGAAGCACGUAGACGAUCCUUGACCGUUCAUUGCCAGAUCCCGAACCACCAUCAUCAAGAUAACACUCCAACGAAGCUGAUUCCAUGAACAAUCUCUGACUGCAGAUUCGCUAUCACACACGCACUAACAAAUUCCGAAAUAACAAUCCAUCAAUAUCUAGCUGCUAACUCAUACAAUGAGUCCAAAUCAGGAUAAAAAACCUUUUUACCCUUCCUCAAGCUUGGCCCAAAGCCAAGCCUGUCACACCCCGAAAACCGAAGGCGGAAACAUUUCCGGGGUUGACUGCAUGUUGAGUAUCAAAUCUAAUGCACAUAGUAAGUAAAGUAGAACAACCAUUACAUUACAUAUAGAAGAGUUUUUCAUUUGUUUCAAAAGUAAAGUUAUACAGUGGUGAUACAUAGUAUAUAAUAACAAAACGAACUGGUCUUCUGCGCACUCCAACAUGGAACAAAUUGAUCUUCGGGUACCUGUUCUAACGCUGACCUGACAACACAAGCGGUUUGAAAAUCAGCAUAACGCUGGUGAGUUCAUAAGCGAUUUUUGUUUUGUAAAAAUGUUCGAGUUUCCUUUCUGUUUUCUGAAAAUGUUACACACACCAAGAAAAUCCCAUAUUUUCUUAAAAAGGUUGGUUUUUGUUCUCAACAUGUAAAGUAUAGUUGUACACUGAAAGCACGUUUACUCUUGUGAAAAUGUACCAAUGUGUCCCCAGGAAAGUCCCAUACUUUCCUGAUUGUGUUUUACCGAUUGUAAAAGAUGUAAAGUUAUCCGGUUUGUUACACUUUUCUAGAUAUGUGAACGUUCCCCAGGAAAGUCCCAUGCUUUCCUAAAUGUUGGUUAUCAAUGUAAAAGAUGUAUUCUGAAACCUGGUUAUCUUGUAAAAUGUGUUAAGUUAUUCAUUAUUACUAUUAAGUAAAUCUCUGUUAUCCUAAUUGUGAGUUCCAUAACCAUACGAUAGACUAGAUGUGGCAAUAAGUAGUCCACAUCACCUUAUGACUUUCGUCACCCUUGAACCAUUUCGGUUCGGCUGUAGCUAGCAGCCAGGUGUGGGGUAGUCAGCCCCGUAUAGAUCUAUACACUCAAGUCACGCUCUCUAAUCCCAGAGAUUCUGGUUACGGGUGCAGUCCUCCACUCGCGUAUCUCUGUGGAGUGUUCACCGAGGACGUGUCUCCAAUCAUACAGGACUAACAAAUUUACUAGUAAUAAUAUGAUAGUCCUCCACUCGUGGAUCUCUGUGGAGUGUUACCGAGGACAAAACAGUGUACAAGUUUUAUGUUUCAAAUGUUCUAAUGUCAUGCUUUUAACUGAUAAAAUGUGCAAAUUAUUUGUGAAAUAUAUAAAACACAAUAGUUUAUAAACCCAUUUCACAAAUAUAUGUUACGUGAUCUGCAUGUUCAUACGGUUAUCAGUUGUGUAUAUCAGUGUUAAAAGCAUAUGAAAUGUGAAACACACACACACAAAAAUAAGUUUUGAGUACAAGAAACCCUUGUACUUUGCUUUGUGUUCCCCCCUGAAAACAAUUAAAAACAGUGAAAAAGGGUAGGGAUAUGAACUCACCGCUUAAUAUAGAGUUCGAGUGUCAACGGAUGCCCUGAACUCCUAUGGCCCCUAUUUUUCAUGAGACGAUACAUAAAUGAGUUAGAAAUAAGGUGUUUCAUGACUAAACAUGAUGGGAAAACAUCCUUAGGGCUUGGAAUUACUAAGAAUAAGUGUUCUCUGAUCCAAACUUAAUGAUUUAUGCAAGUUUAGGGCCAAAAAUGGGUAUUAGAGUGGGUGUAUGGUCUUGAAAAUGAGUGUGCGGCUGGGGAGUGCGGCCAGGAGUGUGUGUGAGGCAGCACACAAGAGUGUGCGGCCGUACAGAGGGUGUGUGCGGCCGUACACAGGAGUGUGCGGCCGUACACUCCUCAUUUGAGUCCAUAUGUUGAUUUUGAAGUGUAUGCUCUUCAUACUUGGGAAUUUUGAAUGUAUGCUGCCCCCAUUUGAAGGUGUGCAGCCGUACACCUUCAUGGGAUGAUGAAUAUGAUGAAUAUAAUGAGUUUUAAGCUUGGGAUUCAAGUGUUUACCACUACACUUAGCUUGAAGUUGAAGUAGAUCACGAUUAUGAAGCCUUCCAAGUGUUCUUGGUUAAUGAUUUAGAGAGAGAAAGUAGAGAGAGGGAAGAGAACAUCUAAAAGAAUGAAUGAAGAGGUAUCCAUCCAUAAAUUGAAUUGGGUGUGAGGUUGAGGGUGUUUGCAGUUGGGUGUGUGGCCGUACACACAGGUGUGUGGCCGCACACACCUUAUUUGGUGAGUUUUGGCCCGAUUUUGUGAUACUAAACACUCUCCAACCCUUCCUAAGACUCAUAUCUAAAUUAUACUAAGUCUAAAGCACCCAUAUGGAAUCACAAGAGACAAUGAACUCAAGUUUUAGUGCUGAAACACAUAUCAAUUACAUGGAUUAGAAGUUUCGGGUUGUCACAAAGCCCAAACUAAAUGACAAAAGGUACAAUAUCAAAAUAAACUCCUUAAGUCCAAUUAUGCCCCAAUUUUCCAACUUUGCCCUAAUGGCUUUCAAUCAUGAAGAUCCAGCAAACUAAAAGCCCAAACCAUAAAAUCCCAGAUGGUCUAUCACAAACCAAUGCAAGCCAAACCCAAAUCUUGAUCCAAAGGCCCAAACCACUUCAAGCCUACACUUAGCCCAAUUUUCCAAAUUGGGCCCAACUCCAUAUUAGGCCUUAUCCAAAGGUCCGAUCCUCUACAUAGCCCAAGACACAUUGUCACACCCACAAACUGGAACGGCGGAAACGUUCGGGGGUGGUUGACGUCAUGCGUAGUAUCACAACAGUUGUAUCAUAGCAAGCAUAGUAAACACAACCGAACAUUGAAUACAUAUAUGAAUAAGGUUUACAUUGUCUUAGCACAUAGUUUUGUUAAUGACGAAAGUAAAAUCGAAAGAUGUGACUCUAACGCGCCGACUUCUCCAAAAGUCCUGGAAGUACCUGUCUACUAAAUCCUUGAGAAUACAAGCAGUUUUGAAAGAAUACCAGCAUAAAGCUGGUGAGUUCAUAAGCAUUUAGUUUUGAUGGAAAAUGUUUCCUUGAAUCCUUUUGAAAAGUGUUCCUUAAGAAAAUCCUCUAUUUUUUUUAUGAAAAACAUGUUUGAAAAAUCAUUCCUUCCAUGACAUCCAGAUUCAUACAUGGUAUGUACAAUCCAAGGAGUCGUGGAAUGAAUAUAAAUAUCCGUUAGUUAUAUGUAAAAACAAUCCGUUUAUGAAUAGCCGAGUUAUCCCGGGAAAAUCCUAUAUUUUCCCUAAAAGUUGAAGGUUGGUUAUCCGUUCUAAACUGAGGUGUACAAGUAUCUACCAUACUUAUAUCGGUAAACAUAGUUUUCUUUUAAAAACCUUGGUUACUCCCAGUGUAGUAUAUUAGCCAUAUUUUAUAAAUAAAACUAAUAAAAGAAAACGUUUUGACCUAAAUCUUGAAGGUACUAUUAAUACCCUCUAGUAAUCGAAUUGGUUAUUACUUUGAGGUUAGUUCAAUUGAUUCAUUAUUACAAAAGUAAAUAUCUGUUAUCUAGGUUUUGAGUGUUAUAACCAUAACUGACUGGAUAUGGCCCGCAACGGCCGGUAUCCUUAAUGACUUUGUCACCCGUAGACCUGUCGGUCCGGCUGUAGCUAGCAGCGAGGUGCAGGGUUGUCGGUCCCGUAUAGAUCUAUACACAACAGUCAUGCUCUCCCUACAAGAGAUUCUGGUUACAAGUGCUAAUCCUACACUCUGAUUUUGUGGGAGUGUUACCAAGGACGUGUCUCCAACUUAGCCUAACAAAUUUACAAGUAAUAAUACUGAAAAUCAUGUUUAUGAUUUGCAUGAAUCCUUUAUAAAAUAAUACAUUUUACUUCAUGAUUCACAAGUUCGUUACCCUAGUUUUGAAAACUGUUUCUAUGAGUUUAUUUUUUAAUCGUUUGGUAAAAACUGUUUUCCAUUUUAAAAAAACAUACUAAAAAUAUUAUUAAAUUAAACAAAAAAAUGUAUUUUGAGCACAAGUUUCCUUGUACUUUUGCUUGUAUUCCCCCCCCCCCCUUAAAAAAUGNGAAAACAUGAAAACUCGGAAAAACGUAGGGUAUGAAAUCACCGUUUGACGUGUGAUUCGAAUAUAAGAUCGUUAGGGAUGUUGAGUGUCAAGUGUAACCUCGAGCACAAACGGACCCUAUUUAACAUAUAACGAUACAUGUAUGGGCAUAAUUAGUGUAUAAUACAACUAAUCAUGAUAAGUGACACCCUACGGGACUAGGAAACACUUGGGACAAGUGUUACAAUCACAUACGAUUGUAUGAAGGGAAUGUAAGGCCACACAAAAGAGUGUGUGGUCAGAGUGUGUGGUUGGAGUGUGUGGUCAGAGUGUGUGGUCGGAGUGUGUGGUCAGAGUGUUUGGUCAGAGUGUGUGGUCGGAGUGUGUGGUCAGAGUGUUUGGUCAGAGUGUGUGGUCGGAGUGUGUGGUCGAAGUGUGUGGUCAGAGUGUGCGGCCACCAAGAAGGUGUGUGACCGUACCCCUCAUUGAUCAUGCUAAAGUGAUCGACUUUAAGGUGAAUCAAGGCUCAAAUCAUGAAGUCUUUCAAGUAUAGCAAGCUAAAAGGAUGGAAUACUUACGUUUUUGAAGCCUUAGAAGUGUUUGUGGUUGAUACAAGUAGAGAGAGAGAGAGGUGUACGGUUGAGGAGAGGGGAAAUGAAGCGAAAAUCAACCUCAUCUAUAUAUAGAUAAUGGGUGUGUGGCCACACACUCGGGUGUGCGGCCCCAUACUCAUGUGUGCGGCCAUACACUCAGGUGUGUGGCCACAUACUCAUGUGGGCGGCCAUACACUAGGGUGUGCGGCCACACACUCGUGUGUGCGGCCUCACACUCGGGUGUGUGGUCAACCAUCCGUUAGUCAAACUUUGGUUGUACAAGGCUUUAGAUCAUCCAAACAGACUUAAAACAAUGCUAAAAGAUAACAUGAAACGAGUUUAACAUUGAUAGUAUCGAAUAGUUGAACAAGGUAGAAGUUUCGGGGUGUCACACACGCCCAUCUAGGUAAUCCAUUAGGGCCCAAGUAUCAAAGCCCAGCAGAUGGCCCAAUACCCAAAGCCCAAAGUCCGAAGCCCAACAGGGGACAUACGUGGGGCGUACCCCUUCGGUAUGCACGGUGUACCUCGCCUCGCAUCGACCCAUUACAAGGGGUUUUUGGGGUUUGAGUCUAAACGCGGGGCGUACAACAACUUACGCGGGGCGUACCAUUGCAGGGACCAAAAUCAUGAUAAGUGCUUAAUGGCUUAAGCACUUAAGCCCAAACUUCAGAUCCACUACUCAAAUGUACUCUAGAACCAUAAAGUCUCAAACUUUAAGACAUUGGUCGACCAAUAAGGGCUUAAUACAUGGUCUUAAUCCAUUAAGACCUCCUACAAAGAACUAGGGACUAAACUAGCUCAAGGAACCUCAUUUUUAUGCCUUAGGACCCAUCCUAGGGUCUGAAAGGACUACCCAACUCGACCAAAACAAAGCACACACAAUAUUGGGACUCUUGUGACAAGAAGAAUACCAUAAAGUAACCAAAACAAGAUCUAAACAAUCCAAGAAUAAAGGUAGAAACUUUAUACCUUCUAAAGCUUCCCAAGAUUUUGAUAACUCCAGAUCUACAAGGUUGAUCCCUUCCUUGUCUCCUUUGAUGCACUACUUCUUCUUCAACUACCCAAGAGGCACAUUUUUAGCUCACACACACAAAAGAAAGGCUAGGGUUUGGGAAAAACGCCUCAAAACUAUGGAGGAUGGAAGGAUACAUGGUAAUGAGCUUAUAAGGACUCUUAUAUACCACCAAAUCCCUAAAUAUUAGGGUUUCAUCCUAGCACUCGUACGCCCAAUGUACAUAUGUGUACGCCUAGCGUACUUCUCAAGUUCCCAAAAUCAUCAUUUUUGCCACCAGGGCCUUCCUUUUGCCACUUCUUUCCAAACCAAGGGCCAAAAUGACAUAAUUCCAAGUCCAAGGGAUCUAUUCGAAGUUACUUUAAAGAUGGGGUGUUACAAAUCUCCCCCACUUAAAUUCGAUUUCAUCCUCGAAAUCAUUCCUUACCGUCCCCGGCAACCCGACAUUUUGAGGGGCACAUCCACAACCAUGACUUACAACGAGCUUCUAAGGAGACUAAACUGUCACACCCCCAAACCAGAAAGGCGGAAACGUUCGGGGGCGGAGGACUUCAUGUAAGUAUCACAACACAUUCAAUAUAGUAAUCCAAGUACAAACAACCAUUUCAUUAAUAAGUAUAAGUUUUACAUAAGUGUUUAAACAUUACAUAUUCAAACACCAAAGUAGGUACAGUAGAAGACAAGAGUCGCGGUACGGUACUAGGUAGUCUUCUCAAGAGCUUCGGGAGUGUACCUGUCUACUGGAUUCUUGAGAAUACAAGUUAUUUGAAAAGAGUAGAUCAGCAUUUAAGAUGGUGAGUUCAUAAGUAUUUUAGUUCUGUAAAGUAUACUCUAGGUUCUUUGGAAAAGUUCACUGGUUCCUCCAGAAAAUCCUAUAUUUCCUGAGGUGAUAAACUGAUAACCUCAAUAGUUUCCCUCUGUAAUUACUUAGUUUAUAUUAAUUAUGUAUAACCUAAUAUCGAACUGACAGUGAAAUGGGUGUAUCUGCCCUAAGCCCACAACCAAACAAGGAACAGGAAGUAAGGCGGAAGUCACAUAUUUCACUGUCAAUCGGAUAUUACUUAUAUAUAACUCUAAUGUAAUAACUAAGGACUUAUAGAAUUAACCACUAAAGGUAUUUUAUGUUAUACUAGUUUACAGAGAUUGAAUGACUAAGUUUCAUUUGAUAAGUGGUUUAAUUCCAUAACCCGUUUCAUUUGUAAAAGUGGUUUAAUCCCAUAACCGUUCCAUUUGUAAAAGUGGUUUAAUCCCAUAAACGUUCCAUUUGUAAAAGUGGUUUAAUCCCAUAAACCGUUUCCUUUGUAUAAGUGGUUAAAUCCCAUAACCGUUUCUUUUGAAAGAGUGGUUUAAUUCCAUAAACCGUUUCAUUUGUAAAAGUAUUCUUAGUUAUAUAUGUUCUAUGGUAAAAACCUUAGUAUUAAUCCUGGAAAAUAUUAUAUUAUCCAUAAUACUGCCUUGUGGUUUUAAAUGUUCAAAAACAGAAGUACAAGUAUAUUUACCAUACUUGAUUUCAUGAUACGUAGCUUUUACUGUAAGUAAAAACUACAGAAGGUAUAUUUGGUCGGGAUGUAAUUAUCUUUUCUUACUGUUUUAAGAGAAGUAUAUUACUUAGUAAUUCACUCAUUGUUUUAUCCAUGUGAGUUCUAUUAACCAUACUAAUAUGACUGAUAUGCCUGCGGCGACGUUCUUCAGGCGUCGGAAUGGAAUGAUAUUUGACACCCUAGGCCUGCCGGCCAAACUGUAGCGAACAGUAGAGGUGCGGGAUUGUCAGUCCCAUAUAGAUCUAUACACAAAUUCACGCUCUCCCUACAAGAGAUUCUGGUUAAUAGGUCAGGACUUAAAGUCGUACUUAGAUAAGUACACCGUGAAGGGUCUCACAAAUUUAUUGUUUCAACGAGAUUUACGAUGUAUUAUUACCCCGUGAUUGCUAACCCUGGUACUCUGUAUCGUACCUUUGUUAAUGUAAACCCGGUAUGAUGUAUUAUUACCCCGUGAUUGCUAACCCUGGUACUCUGUAUCGUACCUUUGUUAAUGCAAACCCGGUAUGAUGUAUCUUUACUUCUUUAAUAUGUUAUUCGUAUAUUAAAGGAAUUAUACAUAUCCUAGUAUAGUUAAAUAAGUUUUGGUACUUUCCUUGGAAUUUGAAUCAUACUCGUAUUUUUAGUUUUGAAUCAUAAAUUAUACCUAUUAUAAUUUAUAUGCUCUAUCUGGUUAACAUGAUUUCUCAUGGAUGAACACCUUUGCUCAGCCUGAUACAUAGGUAAUGAUACCAAAACGAGUGACUUUUUUAUACUAAUAUAUGUAUAAUAUAUAUAAUUAAGAAGGAAACGACCUUCGGACAAAUAACACAACCUUAACUCCACAUCCAAACAAGGAAAAGGAAAUAAGAUAAUUCAUUAGCCCUAAGUCCUUCAAAUCUUAUUUAUAUAUUUAUACAUAUAUAAACAUGAUUUUUGGCAUUUAUAAUUUGAAAUAGUUUAUAAAACAUUUUUCAAAGAAUUUAACGGAGUUUACAUGACUUUAAAUAUUUAACAUGGCUUUAAGUCAUUUUGGAUGUAUUUGGUAAUUCUUGAAAGCAUACAUAAACUAUUUGCGUGAUUAUUAUCACAUACAAUUAUUAAUACAAUUUAAUUCGAAGUUGGCGGGUAGUACCAAUACGAGGGUAAUGAUAAUUUGAAAUUAUGAACUUUCAUGAAACGAUCCUUACUGGGUCUCUCUAUAAUUGCUUGGUGCAUACAAGUCAUGUAUAAUUAAGAUUGGUAAGACCUUAGACUGAGCAACCCUGCCCUAAAUCCACAACCAAACAAGGAACAUGAAAUGAGGAGGGAUUACUCACUCUAACUCUACAAAUCUUAAUUAUAAAUGACACUUAUGUAUACACUAAGUUAUCAUAGCUUACCUGUUAGGGUUUCAAAUUUUUAUAUAAGUGUUAUGAUUUAGUUCGAACGGAAGAGUAAUCAUAAUUAUAAAUAGUUAUCGGGGUUUGGAAGCGUACCAAAAUAUAGCAGGGUUCUUUGAUGCUUUCCCAUGUAUUGGGAUCAAAAUCCUCCUGCUCCCCCGUAGUUCUUCUCUGUUGGACAAUCCCUCUUGUAAUGUCAUGUUUUACCACAAAGGUGACAUAUGGGAAUGGUUCCAACAUCAGUAGUUGAAGUGAUGAACUCGACCGGAGUUCUACAGAUGCGGGUGGUAUGCCCCUUUAUGUUGCAUCUAUUGCAAUGCAGGUCUUGGCGAACUCCAUGAAGAUGGUAGUUGCACUUGCUGCAGUGUGGGAGGUUCCUAAGUACGGCUGGGUUGGUGCUAGAAUAACAGGGCUAAUGGGGGUAUUGACUGCCCUAGUUUGUUGCCCUCUGUUAGGUUCUUGAGUUGAACAACUCCUUUUCAAGUUCUCGAACUUUCGUUUAAGGAUAUUAGGCUUAAGGUUCGAGGUGUCCUUACAAGUAGGUUCUUGUGGCUGUACUUGGUCAUCACCACGAUCGGGGUUACCGAUAGCAUUACUACUAACAUUUGCAUUGUUAGCAUUAAGGUGUGUCAUGACAGCUGUUAUAGUUGCUGUGACCGCAGCUUGAAACGUAGCUGCAUCUAUCUAAAGGAUUGGUGUUUUGCUGGUGGGUUGGUUACACUUCUUUGGAGGCAUGAUUCUGUUAUAUGAUAUGAAAAUGAGUUCGUGAGCGACUAUCGUGUCUCUAGAUGUAUUCUAACCAUUUGUAUCUAUGUAUUAAUCUUUCGUUUUGUUAUAUUGUUUUUAAUGAUUCGACCUGCAUCCCUAUGAUGCAAUCCUGAUAAGGAAUAUAGUUAAGUUUCUAGAAUGGUUAGGAACCGAAUAUCAUCCGAACUAAGUUACCUUCGCUUGGUGGAUAUCGUUUCCCAAUUUUCGAAAAUAUUCGAAAACAAUUCAUAACAGUGUCUACAUAGAAUAGACUUAUGAGUUUGAGAAGUAAUCACCAUCAAUUAAGAUUCUGUGAUCUGAUUUAUGGUCAUUAUCUACGACAGGAAAAGAGGAUAAGCUCCAAACCUAAUGUGAGUAAUGAAAUCACUAACUCACUAGGUUGAACCGAUUUACUAGUUAUUACUUAGAUGAAAUGGUGCUCAAACUCUUCACAUGAAUCAUGCUUAGUUUUCCUUUGUUCUCCAUUUUAUUCUCUCCUGGUAUUGAUUUAUUCUCUCCUGGUAUCUAUACAGUGUUUUUCUCCUAUGUAGGUAUAUUGAAUUCCCGGGCUGUCUUACUUCCGAUUCUGACCCUGGUCCCCAUUGUUUCAUAAUGAAGAUUUUGAAUCUCUGAAGUUCAUGCGAAUCUCUCAUUGGUGUCCUUAAUAGGGUAAGGGCACUAAAUGAUUUCUAUAGUUUAUGUACUUCUCAUAUGUUUCUUUCUUGGGAUUCCCCUAAUGAAAUUCUGUUGGAUCCUCCUUGACUCUUCUAUUGAUUUCCAGAGUAUUUAUCUAAGGGGUUUAUACGAGAAUGGGAAUGUCUAAAGAAUCUAUGAGAAAAUUUAAAUUUUUACAAAGGUGAUCCUUCCUGGUCCUCCUAUAAUCACAUGGGGUGUACCGAUUAUAUAUAAUCCAGAUCAAAUAGACCUUCGAAUAAGUAAUCCUACUCUAAAACCACAUCCAAACAAGGAAAAGGAAGUAGAGUGAAAAUCACCUAUUCUAAGUCCAUAAAAUCUCGGCUAUAUAUAACCUUAACGUAUCCACUUAGUACUUAUAGACUUAUCAGAAAAGAUCUUUUUAACAUUUCCCAAAAGUUUAUUUAAAAUACUUCCAUGGUAUUUGAUUCUUGGACUUCCAGUUAUUAGAAGUUGAUAAGUUUUCAGUUUUCUUGUUAUAGCAUCCUAAAAUACUCCUAUAGUAUUUUAACCUUUGUGUUUGGUUCUACAAUUCAUCUGGUACCUAGGUAAGUUUUAGACUUGUUGCAACAAUACAAUUACUCCCAAACACAUGUUGGUCAUAUCUCAAAUGAAUAUAGUUGAUCAGGCUAUAUUGAUCCCAGAUAUGAUUACAUAACUGUCUAGGUUUAACUGUAAUGUUCAACAUCCAAAUACUUUUGUUUUGUUCCUCUUGUGAUACUCAUUCUAGUAUAUAUAUUCUGCAUGUACUUAUACUUUUAUAAAAUAUUGUUAUAUUUUUAAAGUAUAACUCUUGGUCAGAGUGUUUUUAUCCCAAUGGGUUUAUAGUUGUAUAUCUUUUAUGACUGAUAUACUGAGUUCACUAUAAACAAUGCUCCGAUACCAAUCUGUCACACCACCAAACCAGCACGGCGGAAACGUUCGGGGGCGGAGGACUUCAUGUAAGUAUCACAACACAUGCAAUAUAGUAAUCCAAGUACAAACAACCAUUUCAUUAAUAAGUAUAAGUUUUACAUAAGUGUUUAAACAUUACAUAUUCAAACACCAAAGUAGGUACAGUAGAAGACAAGAGUCGCGGUACGGUACUAGGUAGUCUUCUCAAGAGCUUCGGGAGUGUACCUGUCUACUGGAUUCCUGAGAAUACAAGUUAUUUGAAAAGAGUAGAUCAGCAUUUAAGCUGGUGAGUUCAUAAGUAUUUUAGUUCUGUAAAGUAUACUCUAGGUUCUUUGGAAAAGUUCACUGGUUCCUCCAGAAAAUCCUAUAUUUCCUGAGGUGAUAAACUGAUAACCUCAAUAGUUUCCCUCUGUAAUUACUUAGUUUAUAUUAAUUAUGUAUAACCUAAUAUCGAACUGACAGUGAAAUGGGUGUAUCUGCCCUAAGCCCACAACCAAACAAGGAACAGGAAGUAAGGCGGAAGUCACACAUUUCACUGUCAAUCGGAUAUUACUUAUAUAUAACUCUGAUGUAAUAACUAAGGACUUAUAGAAUUAACCACUAAAGGUCUUUUAUGUUAUACUAGUUUACAGAGAUUGAAUGACUAAGUUCCAUUUGAUGAGUGGUUUAAUUCCAUAACCCGUUUCAUUUGUAAAAGUGGUUUAAUCCCAUAACCGUUCCAUUUGUAAAAGUGGUUUAAUCCCAUAAACCGUUUCCUUUGUAUAAGUGGUUAAAUCCCAUAACCGUUUCUUUUGAAAGAGUGGUUUAAUUCCAUAAACCGUUUCAUUUGUAAAAGUAUUCUUAGUUAUAUAUGUUCUAUGGUAAAAACCUUAGUAUUAAUCCUGGAAAAUAUUAUAUUAUCCAUAAUACUGCCUUGUGGUUUUAAAUGUUCAAAAACAGAAGUACAAGUAUAUUUACCAUACUUGAUUUCAUGAUACGUAGCUUUUACUGUAAGUAAAAACUACAGAAGGUAUAUUUGGUCGGGAUGUAAUUAUCUUUUCUUACUGUUUUAAGAGAAGUAUAUUACUUAGUAAUUCACUCAUUGUUUUAUCCAUGUGAGUUCUAUUAACCAUACUAAUAUGACUGAUAUGCCUGCGGCGACGUUCUUCAGGCGUCGGAAUGGAAUGAUAUUUGACACCCUAGGCCUGCCGGCCAAACUGUAGCGAACAGUAGAGGUGCGGGAUUGUCAGUCUCAUAUAGAUCUAUACACAAAUUCACGCUCUCCCUACAAGAGAUUCUGGUUAAUAGGUCAGGACUUAAAGUCGUACUUAAAUAAGUACACCGUGAAGGGUCUCACAAAUUUAUUGUUUCAACGAGAUUUACGAUGUAUUAUUACCCCGUGAUUGCUAACCCUGGUACUCUGUAUCGUACCUUUGUUAAUGCAAACCCGGUAUGAUGUAUUAUUACCCCGUGAUUGCUAACCCUGGUACUCUGUAUCGUACCUUUGUUAAUGCAAACCCGGUAUGAUGUAUCUUUACUUCUUUAAUAUGUUAUUCGUAUAUUAAAGGCAUUAUACAUAUCCUGGUAUAGUUAAAUAAGUUUUGGUACUUUCCUUGGAAUGUGAAUCAUACUCGUAUAUUUAGUUUUGAAUCAUAAAUUAUACCUAUUAUAAUUUAUAUGCUCUAUCUGGUUAACAUGAUUUCUCAUGGAUGAACACCUUUGCUCAGCCUGAUACAUAGGUAAUGAUACCAAAACGAGUGACCUUUUUAUACUAGUAUAUGUAUAAUAUAUAUAAUUAAGAAGGAAAUGACCUUCGGACAAAUAACACAACCUUAACUCCACAUCCAAACAAGGAAAAGGAAAUAAGAUAAUUCAUUAGUCCUAAGUCCUUCAAAUCUUAUUUAUAUAUUUAUACAUAUAUAAACAUGAUUUUUGGCAUUUAUAAUUUGAAAUAGUUUAUAAAACAUUUUUCAAAGAAUUUAACGGAGUUUACAUGACUUUAAAUAUUUAACAUGGCUUUAAGUCAUUUUGGAUGUAUUUGGUAAUUCUUGAAAGCAUACGGAAACUAUUUGCGUGAUUAUUAUCACAUACGGUUAUUAACACAAUUUGAGAUUGUGUUAAACUUGUAUUCCCCCCUAAAAAGCAUUUAGAAACCAUUAAAAAUGUAAAUUAUAGGGGUAUGAACUCACCUUGAUAGGUGGUAAUUCGGGAAGCGUUUUGUUUCCUGGAAAAUAGUUUGUUUGAUGAAAAACCGGCUUAAAUCGGGCAGAGUUUCGACAGGAGAGAGGAUGAAUUNGGCUCCGGGGCUUGUUUCGGGCUUUAGACACAAUACCGAGGCCUUGGGGGGUCGUGAGAAAGUUUACAGGGUGGAAAUGUAAAAAAGGGGAAAUUUUGGGGUGAAAAACUCUUCAAAUGCGAGAAGGCUCGCACCCUUUAUAUAGGGGUGCGAGGGUUCGGUCCGAAGAAGUCAGGUGGCGAGGGAGAGGAGUCAGCAGCACACGCGUCGGACAUGCGAAGUGAACACGAGGCGAUGCUUCGGACGUGGAGGCUUCUGAGUGGUCCGAACUUCGGUCCAAUAGGAGAAGGCCACGAGGGUCCGCUGUGUGUCUCAUGCGAUGGUGUAAGCUUCUUACUGGACCGCAGCUGCGGUCCAAUCCGAUGGUGACGCGGCGAUUUGCGGUCCUAUCAGAAGGUGACACGUGGCAGCCUCGCAUGCGAGGGUGACGUGGCAGAAUAGUGACUAUGCGAUUUUCUCGGUUUUUGAGCAAAAAACUUCUAAAAUUCAUAACUUUUGGAUACGAACUCCGUUUUUGACGUUCUUUAUUUGCACACGUAGAUAAAAUUAUACUCUACGACUUUCGUUUAGACUUCGUCGACUAUUUUUGACUUUAUUUUUAAUAUUAUUAUUUUUAACAGACCGGGACAGGAAAAUCUGUUAAAAAUUCAUAACUUCUUCAUCCGACAUCCGUUUUCUUCUGUCUUUUUGCCGUUGUGCUACUUUUGAAGAGACCUUCGAUUCUCGUUUAAGUUGCAUCGGCUAAAUAUCGAUUGAUUUAUAUUUCAAAUUUUUAGCUGUCUACUGCUAAACCGAAACUUCGAAAAAUCAUAACUUCCUCAUACGAAGUCAGAUUUUGACGUUCUUUUUAUGAACGUUCUCGGUUUAACAUAUUCUACAACUUUUAUUUAGAUUGUUAAGUAUAAAAAGCCUUUUAUCGAAAAUUCGCUCAGUGUUUUGCCGGUUUUACCGCGGAUUUUCGAUUGGUCAUAACUUCUUCGUUAUAACUCGGAUUUCAGUGUUCUUUAUAUUUUUGGAAACCUUGUUACAAACUCUACCACUUGGUUCAUCCCAAUUAUGAUUAUAGAUCAAUAAAUUUUUGACCAAAAUUUGACUGGUGUCACAUAAACGCAACACAAAUCUCUCAAUUCGAGGAAGACGAAUGCAUAAUCCCAUGCAGCAAAACAACCCUACUUCACCCGAAAAUCUACAAUGUGGAAUCUUGAAUUUUGUCUGACUCUCUGACAGACCGCCCAUACUAGCUCUCGCUAAUUCCAUUCCCUUUAUCCCCUAAACAGUCUACACAACCCUGGAAACCAGAGAUUCCUACCAGAAAAUAGAACCGCAGAUCAUACUCUGAUGCCGACAACUCUUAUUGGACAAAGAGAUUCGAUAAUCCUUCCAAAGAAAGCCAAUAGUGAUAAUAAAAUUUCCUAGGAUAUGAUGAACAACGAGAGAUAGCUGGGAGUUGAACCUUCUUGUGCCAACCAGAAAUGCUUCCUUUAACUCUCAAACCAAUGUAAAUAUCACUGCUAGCCCAUAACCACAAACACCCAUGACUGGCCCGAUCAGCCUUGGGCUGGAAUAUCAACAUGUUGAAUCCAAUAAACCAUUGGGUUAAAUUCUCAGGGUUUGUUGGCCUACCGCCUCAACCCUACCGCUCCCUCGGAGCCUUCGUGCCUACAACUUACAGUCGGCCCGCACCGGGUAUCUUGGUCUACUGCCUCAACCCUACCGCUCCUCCUGGGCAUCCGUGCCUAUGACUUACAGUCAGGUCGCACCGGGUAUCUUGGCCUACUGCAUAAAACAGGACCGCUUCAACCUGCCCAAAUACAAUGUGCCGCCAUAAACAAUCAGGAGAAAGAUCUAACCUGGUUCCCAAAACCUGAUAGACAGGGUCAUUCUAACCCCAACAACCCUAGAUUUCAGCAUCGAUGACAUCACACCUUUCGCAUGAAACUUGCGACUCGCACCUCAAACCAAAAGAUUCCCCCAAUUACCUCACUAACCUCCAGAAUUCAUGCCUCACAUGGAUACACUUGCGAUUCCCAUAGCCAGUUUCCACUACAAACCAUCCCGAAAUGGCCAUCCAUAAAUCCACCCCAAAUUUCUAACUGAAGAUACCACAAUCAUGCAGAAACAGUGGUUAAACAGGUCGAUAGCUAAUCUUACCCAAACCAAAUUCAUAUGACACACCAAAACCUUAGUAUAACCUUUGACCCUCUGCCAUGCCAUUACCAAACUCUGAAUCGAAGAAGGAAGAUGAUCAAACCAAGAACUUCCGCAUUUCUUCCGAUCCAUAACAAUAACUUGCGAAAAAUCAUAAAUACGGAGCAAACAUUCCACAAAUUCAUUCUAAUAUCUGACUGGAACUCCCAACGGCCCUUGACCAUUCCCUAUCCAAACCAACUGAUUUAUGGGUUCUCCAAUCCCCAUCAACGCGUCACUACUAAGAGUAUCAUAAAUAGACUAAAUGAAUAAUCCUGACCAUUAGGCCCACAAACCAUCACUGGAAUGCUCCUGAUCUCAUACUGACCUUGUCGGUAUUACAUUGCUUGCCUAACCUUAUGGGUUCUAAAGAUACUCUCCUAAUUUCUCUACCUUGAGGGGACCUAAUCACCGUCCUGCACAACACUGAACGUGCACCACUAUGUUGCAACCCUACCACGUACAAUUCACUUAUAGAACAAGCUGCUACCCAAGAAAAUGCUUACAUACCAUGGUCGCACACGACCCGCAGGCAGGAUAAUGGUUGAUCCCUUGAUCUAAUUCGAAGGCUAUAACCCUACCGAACCCUCACAUAAGUCGAACCGAACUCCAAUGGUGCCAUUUACACCAAAGUAUCACCUUGAUCUAGACUGAACAGAUACCAUCAAUACGCAUCUAGCUCCCGAAUACUUCCAAGGCGAUCCCAAAAGUUGCCAAACCCAAGUCUGCUAUGAAUAUGAAAUUUCACUCUACCGCUGAGGGAGAACUUACCCAGGGACCAAGGGAAACGCAAACACACUGCACUGGAGGGUGUGUGACCCAUUCCUUUCUCUUAACUGUUGCCUCUUGAAUCCUUUGAGGAUUUUUUGCUAAAAGACGAACUCAAUGAUCAAUGGUCGAGGACAUCCUGACACCUAAACCCGAGAAUCACAAACCCACCUGGAGCUGAACAUACCCGCUUCUGGAGAGGUUCACCGAUUAGUAUCUACCCAACAAAUCUAAAACAACAGUCUGAUCAACAACUAACAAAACCUUCAAUGCCUGACACUCAACCUAAGAAUUCCCAAUUAUCCAUCACUUAGGUUUCUAACUAACAUCCAUUGGCUUAAAACUAAUCCAUAACUCAAAACGGCUUAACCAGGUACUAUCAUUCCUGACCUCAGAAUGAAUGACAUGCACGAAAGGAUCCUCCCGAUCCGGAUCAAUCGAAUCCCAAGAGAAACCUAAAUUUCGGCUGAAAACUUCCGACAUGCAGAAUGGCAUGUAACGACCCUCAAUAACCAAAAAUAGUAGAAAGUCAACCCGGGAUAUUGAUGGGUUUGAGCCAAAAGAACAUCCUAUAUGCUCAUGUAAACCUUAAUGCUUGGAUCUAGGUUUCUCUAAUUGUACAUGCAUUCAUCCAAGACUUUCAAACCCUAGAUCUAAUGAGAAUAAUUCGAAAUUAAUGUGACAAAUUAGAUCUAGAUGAUUACCUCUUGUUGCUUGCUUGAAUCUUCUUAUCUUUGAAGCUUAGAGUCACAAGUGUCACUUAUUGUCCAACAGUUUGUUUCUCGAUCUCUGAUUCAUUUGACAUAGAACUUAAUUGAACACAUCAAUUCAGUCCUGACCGGUCCCAGCACAUAAGUUAAACCAAAUCAUCGAGGGGGCCUGAUAUUGCUUUUACCCUCUUAGGAUAAAAGGAACAGAUAAAAUUCGACUUAUAUGCAUUUAGUAUCCACUAAUCAAAUCAUACAUAACAAUAAGUUUUAUAACAUCAAGUUACUGAUGUGUUUACACAUUAUCAAUGCAUACUCAACUAGUAAACAAUAAACCAUAUAUCUAGGUUUUAAGACCAUAUGAUAUUAUCGUCUUGCGAUCACUCGAGAUAAAUUCCAUGAAGUAAUUCCAGCAAGCGUGGGUUUAUUCCAAUGCUCAAAUCAAACUCAUAAGCACUCAUGAACAUUGCAGCAAACUUUUGCUUUGUCUAAUACACUUUAGACAAUCUACACACCAAUUUAUGACAGUCUUCAUUUAUACCUACUUCCAACAUAUGAACGACUGUGGACGGUUCGAAUUAGGGAUGAAAAUGGGUCCACACCCGGACCGGAUGGACCCAGACCCGGAAAAACUGGAACCGUUUAACAAGAUUUCUUAGAACCAGCAACCAGACCGGAUUAUAGGAACCGGUUCCGGGUACGGUACGAGUAAAGUGGGUCUAGAACCGAAAAACCCGGAAAUAGAAAAGUGGAUAAGGUGGAACCGGGUAAAUUGGGUUUAGAACCAGAAAACCCGGAUUUUUUUUUGUAAUUACCUCAAUCGCAUAAUCUUUCAACCGUUAUAAAAAAAUUAAUAAAAAAAAAUUACACUUACAUUAUUGACCACAUUGAUUUAAAAAAAAAAGUAACGUAUAUUAAUUGUAAUAUCAAAGUUGGUUAUAUCAAUUUGAGACCUGAGACUCUCAAAUAAAGCGAUAGUUCUUUAACUCACCCAAGCUAGUUUCUUUAAUUGUAAUAUCAAAGUUUGUUAUAUCAACGUGGAUUAAUUACUAAUGGUCAUUCAUCUUUACUUUGCCAUAAUUGUCUUCAACUUGAGAUAUGUAGUAUGUACAGUACGUCAACUCCCUUCUCCAAUUUAAUUUAUGUAUUUGACUAUUUUGAAGUUCAACUGAGAUGGAUUUGAAGCACAAGACGGGAAUGUUUUUGUUGAUUUCCCUCAAUUUUUGUCGAUCGUCCACAGAGAAAGCUUAAAAAAACGAGUCACCGAUCACAGAGAAGUAGAUCAUCGAUUCGUCGUCACCCAAGUACAUGAACACGGGAAAAGAAACUGGUCGUAUUCCUGUUCUACAAUAAACAUGUUUCCUAUACCCAGUUCCACAUUAAACCUAAUCCGGUUCUUUGGCCCACUAAACCCGGACCCGGUCCAUUAAACCCGGUUCCGGUUUUUUAAACAAAACCAGUUCAAAAACCCGGAUUAACCGGAACCGUUGGACCCAUACCCGAAAUACCUGGAACCCGGAUAAGAGUAAUUUUGAAACCCAAUACCUUGACCGUUUGAGUAUUUUCCGGUUAUACCAGUUCCAGUUCCGGUCCGGUUUUCCGGUUUUAUAACUCAUCCCUAGUUCGAAUAAUCUCAUUAUUCAGGAAGUCAAAACAUGCAAAGUGAAACAUUAGGUAAACAAUUAAUAUAAGACAGUAACAUUACUUAUAAAUAAUACUCUUUUAUUUAAUCAUCAAAUGUUAAUUACAAUUUAUCUAUUACACGUUUCUAAACUAUCUAAUCUAAACUAAUAUCGUCCUUCAGCCCGAUGAUCCUAGCAUACUGCAAGUGCUUAACCCUACUCAAUCCCUUUGUAAGCGGAUCUGCUGGGUUAUCCUCUGACAAUACCCUCUUUACUACGAGGAGUCCUUCUUCCACUCGAUGUCGAAUAAAGUGAUAUUUUAUGUCGAAAUGUCGAGAUCUGCCGUGAUCCCUCGGUUCCUUGGUCAAGGCAACCGCUCCUUCAUUAUCACAGAAAAUUUCCAUGGGCUUCUUUAUGGCUGGCAUAACUCCAAGGUCCCCAAUGAAGUUCUUCAACCAUAUUGCCUCCUUUGACUCUUUGCUUGCUGCAAUGUACUCUGAUUUGCAUGUUGAAUCAGCUACGGUUUCCUGCUUGGAACUUUUCCAAGUCGCUGCUUCUCCAUUAAGGGUAAAGACCCAGCCCGAAUGCGAAUGCUAGUUGUCCCUGUCGGUCUGAAAACUGGCAUCACUGUACGCUCGCACCUUUAAGUCAUCACUCCCACUGAGAAUUAGAAACCAUUCCUUGGACCUCCGAAGGUACUUAAGAAUGUUCUUGAUUGCGGUCUAAUGUGCUUUGCCAGGGUUCCCUUGACAUCUGUUGACCAUGCUUAGAGCGAAGGCCACAUCAAGGAGAGUAUAAGUCAUUGCGUACAUAAUCAAGCCAACUGCGGAAGCGUAUGGUACUUGGCUCAUUUUUGCUAUCUCGACUUCGGUACUCGAGCUUUGAGUCUUACUCAACUUGCCAUUACUUUAGAUCGGUAACUCCCCCUUCUUUGAAUUCUCCAUACUAAAACAUUUUAGUACCUUGUCCAAGUAAGUGUUCUGACUAAGUCCUAUUAGUCUUUUACUUCUGUCUCUCACUAUACGUAUUCCCAAAAUAUAGGAAGCCUCUCCAAGGUCCUUCAUAGUGAAGCACUUCCCGAGCCAGGACUUAACCUCCUGCAGUGUUGGGAUGUCAUUUCCUAUGAGAAGUAUGUCAUCGACAUACAAUACGAGGAAGCUAACUAUACUCCCACUGGCUUUGAAAUAUACACAUGAUUCAUCCUUGCUUCGUAGAAAAUCAAACUCUUUGACUUUCUCAUCGAAGCAAAUAUUCCAUCUGUGAGACGCUUGUUUCAGUCCAUAAAUGGACUUCGCAAGUUUGCACACUCUAUCGGGAUGCUUCGCAUUAACAAAACCCUCUAGCUGAGCCAUGUAAACAUACUCAGCCAACUUCCCGUUAAGGAAAGUGGUUUUGACAUCCAUUUGCCAUAUUUCAUAGUCAUGAAAUGCAACAAUGGCUAAAAUAACCCUAAUAGGCUUUAUCUUAGUAAUCGGUGAGAAGGUUUCAUCAUAGUUAACUCCGGGAGUUUGAGUGAAACCCUUCGCGACCAGUCGCGCCUUAUACGCGUGCACAUUCCCAUCCAUGUCGGUCUUCUUCUUGAAGAUCCACUUGCACCUGACCGUGUUACGUCCUGGUACAUGGUCAGCCAAAUUCCAAACUUGGUUUUCCUAUAUGGACUGAAUCUUGCUGUCCAUCGCCUCUUUCUACUUCACAGACUCUGGGCCUGCCAUGGCUUCCUAAUAGUUGUUAGGUUCAUCCAAAUUCACUAGUUUACUAUCAAUAAUGAACGUAUCCCCUUUGGUAGUUAUAUGAAAACCAUAAAACUGGGGUUGAAACCUAACUCUUUCGGAACGUCUAAGAGGUAAGGACUCAUCAAUUGGUUCAAACGGAGUUUCCUCCUCGGGUUGAGUGCUAGCGUUAGAGGUUCCUUCAUCGGUCGAAUCCAGAAGCUCUUCAAGAUCGAUUUGCCUCCCAUUGUCCCCUUAGCUUAUGAGUUUUCGCUCUCGGAAAACCCCUCUCCUCACAAUGAUGACAACAUUGUCACUCGGUCUAUGGAAGAGAUAUCCACAGGACUUCUGCGGGUAGACGAUGAAAAUACACCUCUCACUAUGAGGUUCGAGCUUUUCGUGAGUCUCUCGUCUUAUGAAAGCCUCACAACCCUAAACCUUGAUAUGUGCCAAUGAGGGAGCUUUCCCUGUCCACAUUUUGUGAGGUGUUUUGGCAACUUUCUUCUUAGGGACUAAGUUAAGGAUAUGAGCGGCAGUCUCUAAGGCAUACCCCCAUAAUGAGAUACGUAGUGAAGCAUGAAUCAUCAUGGAAUGAACCAUGUCCAACAAGGUUCGAUUAUGCCUCCCAGCUAAACCAUUCAGCUGUGGUGUCCUAGGUGGCUUCAAUUGCGAAACGAUUCCGCAUUGCUUGAAAUAGUUGUGGAAUUCAAGACUUAGGUACUCUCCUCCUCGAUCGGAUCGAAGCAUCUUGAGUUUCAUGCCCAACUGAUUUUCCACUUCUUGUUUAAAUUCUUUGAACUUUUAUAAGGUUUCUGACUUGUGCCUGAUCAAGUAGAUAUACCCAUAUAUAUAUACUAUAAUCAUUGGUAAAAGUCACGUAGAAGCGGCCUGCAUCCUUUGUGGUGGAUCUAAAGGGCCCACACACAUCAGUGUGUAUGAGAUCCAAUAAACUCUCACCCCUUUCACAAGUGUCAGUAAAGGGUGACCAAAGAAGACUCACACACAUCAUCUUCCCUAAGGUCAAAUGACUCUAACACUCCAUCCUUUUGGAGUUGGGCUAUGCGUUUCUUGUUGACAUGUCCAAGACGACAAUGCCACAAGCAUGCUUUAUCCAAACCAUUGGAUGAAUAAAUACACAACACAUCAUUUCUUAAGUUAUCUACAACCAUCAAAAUUUCAUAUAUUCCAUUACAAGACAACGCUUCAAAAUAAAAGACACCAUCAAGAUAAGCAUUAAUAGAGCCCUUUUCAUUAUCAAAUGAAUAUCUAAAACCUUCUCUAUAUAAACCAUGAAAUGAAAUGAUGUUUCAUGCCAUAUCUAGCAAAUAGCAACAAUUGUUUAGAUCUAAUCCUAAUCCACUACUGGGAAUUAAAGAGUAAACUCCGAUCUUGGUGACAGUCGACGAUCUUCUAAUCCCCAUGAUCAAAUUUAUCUUUCCAUGGUCCACAUCUCUAUCUCUUCUUAGGCCCUGCAAAUCAGAACAAAUGUGAAAACCACAUCCUGUAUCAAGUGCCGAAGAAAUGGAAUGUGAUGAAUCAUUAGAUUUAAUUGUGUAAAUACAUGUGUAGGAUAGCUUGAUCUUCCCAUCCUUGAUUGCUUCAGAUAUUCUGGGCAGCUUCUCUUUCAAUGCCCUAUCUUGCGGCAGUGGUGGUACUCUGCCUCCUUGGGGUUUGAGUUGGGUUGAGCAGAACCAACUUUGGUUCCACUAGAAGAGGUACCAUCUUGGGACUUUCCCUUGUGGUGGAUCUUUGAGGGAGCCUUCCUGUUCUUACCCUUCCCUUGCUCAAUAGCCAAAAAAGGGGGUAACAGUUGGAGCGGGAGUUGAUGCAAAAAUCUUAUCUUUGAGAUUGCUCUCAGCAGUCCUUAGCAAGCCUUGAAGCUUGCUUAAAGUGACCUCUUGCUUAUUCAUGUGGUAGGUCAUGCGGAACAUGUUGUAGCAGGGAGGCAAGGAGUGAAGGAUGAUGUCAAUCUCCAUCUCUUCAUUAAAGUUAACAUGCAAUUUAGCAGGCGAUCAACAUAUCUCUGGAUCUUUUGCAGAUGGGUUGUAAGGGACUCUCCAUUACCCAUUCGGGUAGUGAUCAUCAAAGUAAUGAUCUCAGACCUUUCUUGCCUUGCACUUUGGUGGUACCGGUCCAGUAAGUCUUGAUGCAUCUCAUAGGGAUACAUGUCCUUAUAGGACUUUUGGAGUUCGGAAGUCAUUGUUGCUAGCAUGAUGCAAUGAACUUUCGUGGCAUCACGCUCGUGGGCCUCAAAGGCAACGAUCUCUUCGGGAGUGGCAGUGUUCAUGUCUAUCUCCUUCAGCUCCUUGUCAAGGACAUACUCUUUGUCCUCGCAUCUGGUGAAAUUUCUUAUGUUACGGGUCCAAUCAAUUGUUUCCGUCAAAUAUCACCCUCCCACACAAGUUCAUAAGUGAGAAUGAGCUAGAGGAAUUCGAGCAGGAAGCAUUGUUGUUGUUCAUGUUCGACAUCUGAAUAGGAAAAGAACAAAGUUUGAUUAGAAGUGAAUCCCUAAUUAAACACUCAAAUGAGAAAUUAGGGCUAGGAUCCAACAACAUUAUUUACAUGUUAGAAAAGGGAUGCCGUAACCUAAUAUGAAAAUAAUUUGAUGGUAAGUGAAUGACGAUUCACUAAUUCUCCACCAUGAAAAGCGAAAAGGGGAUUAAGAUUUAAAUGUAUUGAAAACUCCUAGAUCUUUUGAGAUUCAUUGAACUUUUCAAUGGCAUGUUUAAAUCUCGAUAUGCCCCUCUAGUUUGUGACUGGAAUGCCUAGGAUCACAAAGAGUGGUGUGAAUAACCAUGCAAAUAUACAUGGUGCCCUCAUUGUUACAGUCACCUAUUCAAUGUGCCGGUUAACCACACACGCUCCAUUGAACUAUGACAAACAAUGAGUCACCCUUUGCCACCUUUGCUUAAAACCCAAUUAGUGUGUCGGUUAACCACACACGCUCCACUAACGUCUUAGCAAGGGUACAAAGUAUAAUUUCAUGGAAUUGCAUCAAUUCACUUUUGCCUAAACUAAAUAAGAUUGAGAAUUUCGUAAAAACAUUUAGUUACUUUUAUAAUUCAUUAUACUUAUUAAUGAGAAAGGGUUGCCUAUCCUACCCGUUCGGCUAACGACCCUCCACCAAUCAAGGAAGCGGUGGAUGAGAGUGGACACCCAUUAAAUGGCCAUAACCUNNNNNNNNNNNNNNNNNNNNNNNNNNNNNNNNNNNNNNNNNNNNNNNNNNNNNNNNNNNNNNNNNNNNNNNNNNNNNNNNNNNNNNNNNNNNNNNNNNNNNNNNNNNNNNNNNNNNNNNNNNNUUAAUCUUAUAAUAUUAAAAAUUAUAAGGUUAAAUUUUAAACUUGUAAAAUUCUAGGGUUUGAAAUUUAAAUAGUUCAAAUUAAACAUUUUAAUCAUAAAGUUUAAAUUUCAAAACUUGAGGACAGGUUUUGAAUUUUUCAAAACACAAAGGAUCAAAUAGCAAAUAAUUUUAAAUUAAUCAAUUAAUUUAAUGAUUAUGUAAAUUUGACCUGAUCAAGAUUAUUUACAAGAUAACUCACCAGAUAAAUUAAAUAAUAAAGUAUUAUCAUAUAAGGAAUUUAUUAUUCAAAUAAAUGGUAAUUAUCUUUUAAUUUGGCAAGGAUAAUCAUAAAACAAUCAUAAAAUUUAGAUUUUAUUAGCCAAAAACGAUUUAGGUAAUUAUCCUUAAGCAAAACAACAAAUAAUCCUGAAUAUCCCUCUAUCUGACGCUCCGACUCCUCGAGUCACUAAAUGGACUCGCCGAGUUGGGCUGACUCGCCGAGUCCAGAUAGUGACUCGCCGAGUUAGGUCGGGCAGAGGUAAAAAACGAUUUUUCACAUGCAUCAAAUACAAUAGAAACCAAACAAAUAUCUGAUACCACUGAUGGGUUUGAGCCAAAAUAACAUCCUAUGUGCUCAUGCAAAUCCUAAUGCUUGGAUCUAGGUUUCUCUAAUUGUACAUGCAUUCAUCCAAGACAUUUAAACCCUAGAUAUAAUGAGAAUAAUUCGAAAUUAAUGUGACAAAUUAGAUCUAGAUGAUUACCUCUUGUUGCUAGCUUGAAUCUUCUUGUCUUUGAAGCUUAGAGUCACAAGUGUCACUCCUAUAAUGGCUUAUAAACACCAAUUGCAAAUGAAUGAUAUUGGAGAGAGGUUGCAAGAGGCAGAAUUUCAGCUAUGAUCUUUCAAGGGUUUCAAGUGGCCGCAAAUUGUAAGCCUUAGGGUCAUAUUUAUACUAGAGUUGCUAAGGUUUCAGCCUAAACCCUAAUGGACAGCUUAGGCCUUAAGCUCUCCAAGGAAGCUUUUGGAAUAGGGCCUUAUGGCCGAAAUUAUGGAUGAACACAUCCUAAUUUUGUCCACGCCAUGUCCAAGAGGCUCCUCAGCCCAAUGUUCAACUAUCACACAUUUGACAGUUUAAGUCCCUAUUAUAAAAUUAAUGUCUUUUAGCCACAUAAUUAAUUUCACAAUUAAUUCUUGUCUAAUAUUAAUUUGAUUAUAUGAUUUCUCCCUUAAUAUAUUAUUCAUAUAACAUAUUAAUAAAUCAUAAUAACCUCUUUCUUAAUAAAUCAUCCUAUCAUGUUGCUUCGAUGAAGGCAACCCAAAAGGACCAUGCACAACCGGGUCAAUUACUUACCAAAUAUAGUUAUGGGCUUAGACACUAAUCCAACAUAUAUAACUUACCCAAUCCAGCAAAAUUCCAACAUAAUACAAUUCCCGAUACAAUCCCAAUGACAAUUCGGUACCCGGCCUAUUCGAGAAUAUUGUACCUAACUUGCCUCGCAAGAUACUCAUGCCACAACGAUCCACUUGCGCUCACCAAUGCUGAAAUAAUGUUGCCGACCCCUAUGACCAACUAACCCAAAGCUAGAAACACAACCUGACCCAGGGGUCACAAGCCUGUUCACUCCUUCGAACUCGGAAAAACUAAAAGGCACAACCAUUGCCAAAGAAAACGACAUUGUAAUCUGUCAAUCAUUCAUUUUACUCCAAGCUACAAAAACUCGGCCGAUUAUAAUCAUCGUUCCCUUCCCGAGUCCCGUGACUCGCAUCCCGGCCUAGAGAAAAACCCCAGAAGCCUCAAACCAAAGAACUCAAUAGGUCUGCACCACACAACCAAAAUCGAUAACGUCACUGGGCUAACAAAAAGUACCAGGACCAUCCUCAUGUCUGAGCAGCCGCAAUCCAAAAGAUCGAUAGGAAUAGAACCACUGCCACGAACCAUGGUAUCUAACCAUGCUACCAUCCCUGACCAGCCCUUAGAAUCCCCGAGAUCUUCCUUGAUUCAAGUAUGGAUCUUGUGUUUUCAGUAAUAUGGGCCCAAUACUACCUUCCACACCUAUCCAUACUUUCCUCAAGAAUUAUCUCAGGUCCUCUAAGUCCUAGUGACAAAAUAUUUUUGAAACCUGCUUCUUGUUGAAACAAUCGCACUAAAUACUCCCUAGGCUAUCCUAGGACUCAACAACACCCCCAUCUGCCAUCAGCUACUGAAGAACCCCUACCAACACCAACUAACCACUUCACAAAUACAAUUACCUGCAACUAAGCAUAAAUAAUCCUUCAGCUAAAGGACCCAACCCUACAACAGUUGGACUAAGACGAGAGUUGCGCAAUAGAUCCGGGUCCUUUAUCCUAAGAUUAUUUAACCCUCAUAGCAUGUAAUUUAAUGUAUUCAUUUGACGGUUAGCUCUCAUCAACAUGGGUCCCACAAAGCACAAAGCAAGCGGCAUUUGAGCAGAGAACCGACUAGCACUAAGAUGCAAUAAAAUUAGACAUAUCCUCCUGUAAAACCCUUGAUCUCAGACUUCCAGCACCUUGCGCGCAUCUUCGCCCUGCCCUCACUCUCUCUUGAGUGGCUAAUCCUUCCUCAUGCCAACCCGCUAUGAAAUGCGCCCAAACCAGGGAAACCACCGCUAGCUCAACAAUAACACGACUGGCCGGUUGACCUCAUACGACUCGUCCAUACCAUGCUUGCCACACGACUCUCCAUUAGUUCCAGAUGACUAUCACAUGAAUACAAUUGCAUACCCCACAGUUUAAACAAACCUAGGCUAAAAGAUUAAAUCCCAUAAUGGUUAGACUCAAACGAGAGCUAGGCUGUAGGACCAAAUCUCUCAUCCUAGAAUCCUAUAAACCAUGCAACAUGUGACUUAUUGUAUCCACUCAAUAGCCAAUUCACACGUGAAAGAUUCAUAGAUCAUCCUAACAAGAAAACUAUAUAGGAACUAAGGCAUCACAUAAUUAGUCAAUUUUACCAUGCAAUUCCAGAAGAUCCUUAGCCUAUUGCUAGCAUUCUAUUCUAACCUAUCAAAACAUAUCAUAAGCUCAAAUAACUGUGUGGUAAUUUGGGGUCUACUUACUGGUUAUGGCUGAUCGUACACAUCACAUCCUCUUUUGUAUUUUGAAAACCAUUUGAAAAUCUUUUCCUUAGUUUGAGAAUGGAUUCACACGAGUGUUCCUCCUAUUCACUCAAACCAAUGCUCUAAUACCAAAUUGUAACAUCCAUAAAAUUUCGGUAAAAUUUAAAAUUUCCAAAAAAAUCGUUUUUCUAUAGAAGUGUUUACAAAAUCGUUGUUCCAAAACAUUUAUUUAAAAACCGGAAUCAUUUACACAUAGUUUUGAAAACAUUCACAUUAUCGGAGUUUCCCAGAAACCAUAAAACCAAAACGUGAGGAUGUGUACGGUCACGUAUUCGCUUUGCCAACAUCUGAAGCACCCGAAACAAUAAACUGAAACCGUAAACACAAAGCUUAAUGAGUUCCCCCAAAGUACCAACCCACAAACACUAGCACAUAUACAAAUAACAACAUGCAUAUAGAGUCUUCAGCAUGACUAGACCGCCCUCACCGGGCCUGUAGUCUAUCUGGCUCACUAUCAGAACCUUUAGCAUGCCUGGUCCGCCCUACCAGGCCUUUAGCCAAUCUGGACCGUUCUCCAGAUAUAGAGUCUCCAGUAUGACUGGACCGCCCUCACUGGGCUAUUAGUAUGUCUAACCCACUCUCAGAACCUUCAACACUACUCUUCCACCCUAACCGGGCCUUCAUCUUGUCAGGACUGUUCUCUGGGCCUUCGGUGUGACUAGUACGCCCUGAUGGGUCUGCAGUAUAUCCGGGACGCCCUUGGUAUGUCGGCCUUCAUCACAAAGCAAGACCGCGUCAACCCAACCACACACACAAGCCAUGUCGACAUAUAAUAGAUAAGCAUACAUAUAAUGUACCGAUAUAAACAUUUCCAAGUUUGUUGACUAGCAGCACAAAGCAAUAUAGUCUCAACCCAACCAUACUAAGGCAGAUCUAACAAAUCGUUAAUCAUAGCAUCAUCCUAUCUACCAAGAUACCGAUCUACGUAUCAUAACAACAUAGCAACAUCCUAUCUACCAGGAUAUCGAUCUAACAAAUCAUAACAACAUACAAGCAUACAAUAACCAUGAUAACAAUCCAAAGGGUCGGCAUUGGGGCCUUCGACACUUCUAGUACAGUGAGGAAAACGCACCUCGCGCUACUAAAGCAUGCAGACGAUCCCUGACCGUUGACUGCCAGAUCCCGAACCACGAUCAUUAAGAUAGAACUCCAACGAAGUUGAUUCCAUGAAGAAUCUUUGACUGCAGAUCUGCUCGCACACACACGCUAAUAGAUUCUGAAAUGACAAUCCAUCAAUAUCUAGUUGUUGACGCAUACAAUGAAUAUAUAUUAGGGAAAAGACCUUUUUACCCUUCCUCAAGCUUCGCCCUAAGCCAAGGCCCAAACUAAAUGACAAAAGGUCUAAUAUCAAAAUAAACUCCUUAAGUCCAAUUAUGGCCCAAUUUUCCAAAUUGGGCCUAAUAGCCUUCACUAAAGAAGAUCCAACAAGCUAAAGCCCAAACCAUAAAAUCCCAGACGGUCUAUCACAACCUAAUGCAAGCCAAACCCAAAUCUUGAUCCAAAGGCCCAAACCACGUCAAGCCCACACUUUGCCCAAUUUUCCAAAUUGGGCCUAACUUCUUAUUGGGAUUUAUCCAAAGUUUUGAUCCUCUACUUAGCCCAAGAGACACCCAUCCAGAUUAACCACUAGGGCCUAAGUAUCAAAGCCCAAUAGAUUGCCCAAUACCCGAAGCCUAAAAACUGAAGCCCAAUAGGGGACGUACACGGGGUGUAGCACUUCAAUAUGCUGGGCGUACCCAACUUCGCAUUGACCCAUUAUGGGGGGUUUGACUUCGAAUGCGGGGCAUUCAACAACUUAUGUUGGGCGUACCCUCGCAGGGACCAAAAUCAUGAUAAAUUCUUAAUGUCUCAAGCACUUACGCCCAAAGUUUAGAUCCACAACUCAAAUGUGCUCUAGAACCAUAAAGUCUCAAAGUUUAAGAUUUUGGUCGACCAAAUAGGGCUUAAUACAUGGUCUUAAUCUAUUAAGACCUCCUACAAAGAACUAGGGACCAAACUAGCUCAAGACCUCAUUUUUAUGCCUUGAGACCCAUCCUAGGGUCUGAAAGGACAACACAACUCGAACGAAAUAAAGCAUGCACAAUAUUAGGACUCUUCGAACAUGAAGAAUACCAUAAAGUAACCAAAACAAGAUCUAAACAAUCCAAGCAUAAAGGUAGAAUCUUUAUACCUUCCAAAGCUUCCCAAGAUGGUGAUAACUCCAGAUCUACAAGCUUGAUCCCUUCCUUGAAUCCUUCGAUGCACAACUUCUUCUUCAACUACCCAAGAGGCACACGUUUAGCUCACACACACAAAAGAAUGGCUAGGGUUUGGGGAAAAUAGCUCAAAAAUAUGGAGGUUUGAAGGAUAGAGGGUAAUGAGCUCAUAAGGACACUUAUAUAUCACCCAAACCCUAAAUAUUAGGGUUUCAUCUUGGCACUCGUACGCACAGCAUACUAGGGCACGCCCUAGUACGCUUAGUAUACUCACAUGUACGCGCAACGCACUUCUCAAGUUCCCAAAAUCAUCGUUUUUGCCACUAGGGCCUUCCCUUUGCCACUUCUUUCCAAACCAAAGGCCAAAAUGACUUAAUUCCAAGUCCAAGGGAUGGAUUUGAAGUUACCUGAAAGAUGGGAUGUUACAAAAGAUAAGGGAUCAAUUACCAAAAAUAAAACCCUAUUUCAUAAGGCAAGGCAAUCGACCGACUUAUGGGAUUUUAAUAGGGUUCGUCUAUUUUUUCUUGAGGUAUAUAAUGCAUGAAUCAAACACAAUCAUCCAUCUUUUCUUGGGCUACAAUUGGCAGUUAGGUGGAAGAGAAGAAAUAAACAAUCACGAUGUUGAAUUAUGACGAGGCAACGGAGGGAGUGAAGACAGGGGAAACUGAAAUUCGAGGUUCUAGCUAUAUUAUUUCCUUCAUCGGAUAAGCUAAAUCGAAUUCCUAAUGCAUUCCUAGCGAGUUAGAUUUCUAAUCAAUCAUCAAGCCACCAUUAACAACCCUUACAGCUUCCAUAGGUGCAGUAUAGCACCACCUUGGCAUGGUGGUUGUAGUUUGACCGAAUUCCAAUCCUUAGGGAUGUUUUCCUGAUGUAUUUUGCUAUCAAAACCAUGUAUAAACAUACUCUUACGUGUUGGGUUUGGUGAAUAGGUCCUUGUGUUGGAUUUUAGUCUUACAUAUGUCUUUUUGGCCAUGUAAUCAACAUAGUAAAGCCUUGAAUGCUACUCUCUUUUUCUAGCCAUACAUAUGUGAAGAGAAGAAUUUAUAUACAUUUUAAAGUUGUUGGAAAAUUGUUAAUAAAAUCCUUGUUUUUAUGCCUUUCUAAGUGGACGUAUUACAUGCUAAAAGAUGUACAUCAAGCUUGAAAGGUCAUGUAAAUUUUGUUUUUCGUCUUGUGUUGCUGCCCUAACACCAUAAUCAAAGAGCUGAAAUAACAUCUUUGUAUGUCAUAUAAUUCUUUCCUAAAGUUCACUCAAUAAUAAUCUUAGUAUGUUUCUUGAAUUGGAACUCAAUGAAGUCUUGGUUUGUGGGUGUUGAGUUAUGUGUUUUGUGUGAUUAUAGCAUCCUACUUUCAUUCUUGUUCCAAUAAUCUUUUUGGUGUUUUCACUAAGUACUCAAUUCAGGUCUUAAUGCUCUUAUUCAAGGCCAAGUGGUCGAAAUUUUAAUAAUCUUAAUCCCUUGGCUAAAUCCUUUUUGUGUUUGUUGACUUUGGCUAAUAUGAUAUAUUUCAAUUUAUGUCUAAUUUAGUUAAUGUUUAUGUUUGAAAAUGAUGUGUUAAUUAGAUAUGCUUGUUUGCUAGUUGCAAUGCUUAGGGUCUAAGCUGAUAUUUGACUCCUUUGUGAUGAUUAAGAUGUUUAUGGUUUGCUAGCAUAAAUUUGAUUGAAAUGAUGAUAGUUUUCUAUGCUUUAGUAAAUUGUUGAUGAUUUUGGUGAAUAUUAUGAUAUGGCUUGAUCGUAUGAAAUUGCAUGUUUUAUAUGAAGAAUUAUUGAAUUUUGUACGACGUUGCAUAUUGGGUUCGGUAGUUUAUGACACUUUCCUUAAAAUCUAUUUGGAUAGCUUUGGUGACCUAUUAGGUUUAAAGAUGACCUAAAAAAAAGCUUAAUCUACUUUGGUGUUAGUCGCCUGGUCUAUCUAGAAGAUCUGGCUACACAUGGUAUGCGUACACUUUUUUUACAGUGUUUAGGGACUGGGGUGUUGUGGUCCUACCGAUGAGGACUAGUACAAACAUCAUGUUGGAUUGGGAGGUGUUAUGGAUGUACGACACCGUUGGUACCAACCCUGAACGACACAAUGGAACACUUGUGUUUUUCAUAGUCAAUGUAGCGAAAGGGGUAUACGAGUUUAGUGUUUCGCAUGGAAGUUAAGAGCCACUAAUAUGGGCACAUAAGUAGUGAAUUGGGAAGUUCCCUUGGGAUAGGAUACACGUAGAUACACAUGCCUAUCAUAUGAUGCUUUUGGUGAUAUGUGAUGCUUUUGGUGACAUUCCUUUGGUGAUAUUCUUUUGGUGAUAUUCCUUUGCUUUCUUUUGGUGAUAUUCCUUUGUUGAUAUGCUUUUGGUGAUAUUCUUUUGGUGAUAUUCUUUUGAUGAUAUGCAUUUUGUGAUAUUCUUUUCGUGACAUACUUUUAGUGAUAUGCUUUGGUGACAUACUUUAGUGAUGUGCUUUUGGUGAGAUGCGAUGCUUUUUGUGAUAUGUGAUGAAUUAAGUGAUAUAUAUUGCUUCUAGUGAUAUUCUAUUCUUUUAGUGGUAUGUGAUGAAUUCAUUGGUAUAUGUAUUAUAUAUGUGAGUAUGGAAUAUUAUUACUUAAUGAUGUUAUGUCAUAAACUGAACUACUGACCCGUUUGGGAUAUGUAUGUUUUCCCUACGACUAUAUAACACAAUCAAUAGGUUUAACACUUGUUUGUUGUACUUUGUGCCUUUGUAUCGGUAUGGGUAGAUUAGGUGAGGUUGGAAACAUUUAUCUUUCGGUAGUAUGUUUUUGUUUAGACGAUACCACUUGGACAUGUUUUGGUUGUUACUUUUUGUUCAAUAAUGGUUUGCAUAAAAUUAAACAGCUUUAAUUGGGUUGUUUUUGAAAGAUGGUAACGUGUGGUUUGUUUAAAACAUGAAUUUUAAAUAACCAAGUCUUCUGCUAACGCAUUCUGUUAAAAAGUGUUUAAAUAAAAAGAAAAAAUGGUGGUAAUUAUAUAUGGUUAAUGAUGCAUGUAUCUGCGGUGAGAUUCAAGAAGAUGUAGACAGUUAGUGUAAUAAAAUAUAGUAACUCUUCGUUUAUGCUUAUGUUUCUGCAUUGACGAUGGCAUAUUGACUUUUAUAAAGAAAAUACAUUUGUUCGAAAAUGUUUUGAUAAUAUUAUUAUCAUGUUUUUGGGACAAAUUAUGCAUAAAAAAUCCUUUUAAAAUAAUACUCUGAUUUAAUAAGCAUAAACAAAUCAGUCUUUUCUGGCUAUAAAAAUGGGGAUGUCACACUAGUGUUGUUACAUCAGGUAGGAAUCUUGGUGAAUGAGAAUCCAUAAUCUUGCAGCUGAUUAUGAAUCAAAACAAUAUGAGCACAACACCAUCCAGCGGCAACAUAUUCCGCUUAAGAGGUAAGCAAGCCACUGACAUCUGCUUCUUGCUUGACCAGCUUAUAAGUCUAUUUACUAGCAGUUGAGCUCUUCCUGAAGUACUCUUUCGAUUUGAUACCACAUCCACCAUGAUCAGAUUUAUUGUAACCAACCAUCUUGAAUUAUGAGUCAUAUGGAUACCAUGAACCAAGAUUAGGUGUAUGUUUUAGAUAACAGGAGACUCUCCUAACAACGUAAACAUGUGAUUCUUUGGGAUUGGCCUGAUAGCGAACACAUAUUAUGGUGGAAAACAUGAUAUCCAGACGAAUGAAGUGAGAUAGAGCAGAGAGCUUAUCAUUCCACUAUACAUGGUAGCAUUAAUGUUAGUGCCAGAUAGAUCAGCAAGAAUAGUUAUAGAUAGUGACAUUGGGGUCUUCACUACUUUACUGUUGAAGAAACCAGACUUCUUUAGGAGGUCAAAUAUGUACUUAGCUUGAAAAAUAAAAAUCCCAUUAGUGAGUUUCUUAACCUAUAGACCUAAUAAAAAUGUUAGUUCACUUAUCAUGCUCAUUUUAAAUUUCAUGGCCAUUACAUCAGCGAAUUCACUACUCAGUAGCUCAUCAUUGGAUCCAAAAAUGAUAUCACCCACAUAUACCAUAACAAGAAUAAUAUGAGACCCUAAUUGCUUGAUAAACAGCGUGUUAUCGAUAUCCCCUCUCUUUUAUCCAUUCGUUAGGAUAAAAGUGGCCAAUGUGUCGUACCACACCCUAGGAGCUUGUUGGAGACCGUAUAAAACUUUGUCCAGAUGAUACACAUGAUCAAGAUACUCUUCACUUUCAAAGUGUGGAGGCUGUUCCAUAAAAAAUUCUUCUUGUAGAUCCUCGUGUAGAAAGGAGGUCUUGACAUCCAAUUGAUAGACUUUAAAGUUCAUGAAAGAUGUAUAUGCAAGAAACAACCUUAUUACCUUAAGUCUUGCCACAGGGGCAAAUGUCUCAUCAUAGUAUAAACCUUCCAAUUAGGAAAAACCUUGAGCAACUAGUCUUGCCUUGUUUCUUGUGACAACCCAAUCUUCAUCCAUCUUGUUUGUAAAAACCCAACGAGUACUAAUGAUAGUCUUCCCAUGAGGACCUGGAACCAGCUUCAAAACUUUGUGUCGUUCAAACUUAUUCAGCUCAUCUUGCAUUGCCUUGAUCGAAUCAGCGUCUUUUAAUGCUUCAACCACCUUCUUAGGUUUAUUCAUUGACAGAAAAUUAACGAACAUGAAGAAAUUGUUGGUGGCCUUGCUACAAGUAAGAAUCCUUGGGUUAUCGUUUCUUAUGAUCUAGGAUUCAUAGUGAUCACGAUGAAAUCUUUGAUUUGCAUCAUUAUUGUUGAUUGGUUCCUCAUUGAAGAGAGCUUAUUCAUGGUUUGGAAUUGCACCGGGGUUUGGAUCUUCAACAUUAUGCGAUUGGACUUCAACAUCAGCGUCAGUUGGGUCCUUAGUGCCAUAGAUAUGAUUCAGACCAAGUUCAAUGUUUGGGACAAUUGGUUCGGAAAAAGAGUUAGAUGGACUAAGAUCAAGUUUGUCAAGAAUGUUGGAAGGAUGAUCAGUUCAAUCUUCAAUCAAUGAGUCUUCAUAAAAAGUAACGUGAAUUGAUUCCUAACCGAAUUGUCUUGAAAGAUUAAAAACUUUGAUGCCUUUUUUUCUUCUUUUAGAUUCACUUGAAUAUCCGAAAAGGAAUCCUUUAUGUACAUUUUGCUUCGGAACUUGAAUGUUGAUCGUUCUGAUUCAAUAUAUAGUAGACACACCUAAAAACAAGAAAGUAAGAUAUCGGGCUUUCUUCCGUUUAGCAGCUCAUAGGCAGUCAUUCCAUAUGAUAGUACAUGAAAGUGUCGUUUAGUCAUUACGAGACCAUAUGUCUUUACGAGAUUGUUUUGACUUCAAGAUAAAGAAUAGGUUUCGAGAUGACUAGAUUUAUGAGAUGUUGUUGUUUGAGGAUUUUGUCAAUGUAAUCUAGCAGAAGUGAAAGUACUACUUUGUCCUUUAAUGUUUCUAAUGUAGUUUCGUACAACCAACAAGAUCAAUAGCAAUGAGUGUUUCAGGCUAUUGACCUUUAGUCCUCUUCAGUCCAUACGCACUUUUGUUAUAUUUUUCUUUUCUUACUCCUUUUUCAAUAAAAGUAGUGUCAACUCAUGUAAACAAAUGCAACUUGUGAGCAACUUCACUUCUAUCAAAUCAAAAAAUCAUCCAGUCAAUCAUUUCUCUCUAACAUUCAUCUUGUUCUUAUUUACUUUACACUAUUCAUACUUUAUAUUAAUCAUCUUGAGCACUUUGUUGAGUUAUUUAUUUCAAAGCUUGACUGUUUUAACUAGAUUUGAGUGGAUGGCUUAUUAUAAGAAAUCAUUGAAGUUAGAUUAAUUCAAGGUUUGAUUUUUCCAACCUUGUCCGCGCAAAUUUGUAUUCUUUCAAUUGGUAUCAGAGCCUAAGUGGUUGUCCUUUGAAUCCAUAAGAACAUAUUAUAGUUGGUUGAAGAUUACCUUGGUAUCUCAAUCAUUUAUGUGUUCACGAUAAAAUUUCUUCUAUAUACCACUUUAGCUCUAAUAUCUUUACAUUAAUGUCUACUUCUAAUCAAUCUCAACAAAUGUAUUUAAUGCAAAUCGAAAAUAGCAUGGGUUGCCCAUCGCAUGCCCCAUUGCUAGUUGAAGAGUAUGAUCAGUAGAAAUUCAGAAUGGAGAGAUUUAUGGUUGGAAAAGAAAAAAGGUGAAGAAAUUUCUAGGUCAGUGAAAGAGGUUCUCAUGUUCGUGUUAGGCAAAUGGUCAGGGAUGCUACUGCUACCUUCAUGGGUCUUGAUUAGCAACGCCCAACACCUCUAACUGCUAAUGAUCUCGAGAAACUCCAUGCAGACCAUAUUGCUUUUUCUGAAAUGGUGUUUGGUGUUCCACCACCUCUCUUUGAGCACAUUAAGUUGUGCAAAUCUGCAAAAUAGAUUUGGGAUACACUUCAAGAUUUGUUUGAAGGAUCGAAAAAUAUAAAGGACAAGCGCCUAGCGUCUGUGGUGAACGACUUCGACACUUUCACUGCCACUCAUAGUGAAUUUGUUUCCUUUGAAUUAAAUCUUUGCAAAAUCAUUGUCAACAACAUGACUGCACAUGGUGUUGUUUAGACUCCGCUUGAGUACAAACUUAAGUUUAUCAAUAGUCUUGGAAAAGGAUGGGGAAAUGUCAAAUCAUGUCUUUAGAGUAAUGGAUCUCUAAAGAAACUAAAGCUCUACUAGUUGUUUGACGAACUGCAGGGUCACGAAUCUAAUGUUGCUCAAACAUUGAGAGAACUAUCUAGAGGUCCUUUCACUCUAAUCAGUCCGGCCAAUCCACUGCUUUCGAACCUAGUUGUCCAAAACCCGUUCAAACCUAUCCUACCUGUUCCACCUGUUAAAACUACUCAACCUGUCCCACCUGUUCCGAACUUUCCAAAUGAAGAAAACUUUGAUCCAGAAGCCGCUAGUUCCAAACUUCGUUUUUUGCAACAGUUUGCACUUAUGUAUUUGAAGUAUAGGCGGCCAUGGAAUCCAAAUCAAAAACCUUCUCAAAACAGAUUUCAAGCUCCUCACCAAAGAAAUCAUCAAACCUACCCUAAUCCAAAAAAAAUCCUUUAGCUUAUCGACCCAACAUUCUGAAUCGCUCCUCGAAACCUCAAGAAAUUUCAACCUCAGCCAAACCCAAGAUUAUAUGUCACAAGUGUGGUCUUGGAAACCACUAUGUAAAGGACUACUUUACUGAUGUUCCUCAGAAACCAAAGGUGAAAGAUUCUGCCUACUAUGCUCUUCUAGCACAGGAACUUGCAGAAAGUGAAAAGGCAUUUGUCACAACGGUUUUACAAAAUGUUGAUGGGUAUUGGUCAUCUGGUGAAGAGGGUGAAGGAAAUUUCGAUAGAAACUUUCUUCUUAUGGCUAGACAAACCAUUUAGUGUGAUGAAGUCUGCUUGUCUUCUGGUUCUAAAGCUGAUGAUGACGAUGUUGAGGCAAAUUACUAUUAGACGGCAACCAACGAUCCACCUGGAAAAAGCAUCAUCCAACAAGUAAAAUACAUAAUUACUGAAAAUAAUUUUGAUUUAUUCUUAUGUGAACCUUAUCUAACUAAAAUUGAAUCACAUAUGACAUUCAUUCUUAAAGCCUAUGAGUCUGCCAUAGAUGUGACUAAGAAGCUGGAUAGUGAGUUAACCUGACUUAGAUUAUGAUUCGAAUAUAACAAGCUUAAUAUUGAAUCUUUAGAGCAUGAACUUGUAAUAGCUAGAGAUGAAUUUAUUAUCCUUAAUGACAAAUGUGCAAUUUUAAUUAGUGAAACAAAUCUUUUUUUUAAUUAUAAUAUGCAUCUUAAUGCUAAGAUUGAUAGUCUGCACAGUUCUAUUGAUAUGAUUGAAUCUAAUAAACAAAUGACCCACAAUUUUCGUCAUCCUUAGUCCAAAGCACAUGGUCUCAGAAGCGAGUUACCGAAACCUAUUUCUAUUCACCAGACAUCAGACAUAUAUCAAUAAUUUAUGGGAGACAUUUCGAUCCAUACUUAUUUGGAUACCCCUGUCUCACCAUUACCAUUCAUUCACCAGACAUUAGACAGAUAUCAAUAAUUUAUUCUUGAGUUCAAACCAAUCACUAUUACAUAUCCUGAUUCCAUGAAACUUUUGUUUCUGAUAUCCCUAAAACUGAAAUCAUCUUCGACACUUCCACAUGGCAUAGGUAGUAUGAGUUUAUCUUUCAAACUCUGGUCCUCAAAACAAUUGUGUUAUUGAGGAAAUCAUUCCUGAUACAUGCACACAUGACUUGGACCAACAUAACUUACUCUGGGUAUUCGUUUAUAGUGAUGUUGAUGAAGAAUUUACGUAUGAUAAUGAGUCAUCCUCCGAAUCCGUUGUGUCAAACAUAAAAGUUGUCUAUAAGUCUACCUUAGUUCCGAUUAAUGCAUGUUUCAACAAUCCAUCUGUUGGAAAGUCUUCCAGGUUAGCAUCUAAGAAGAAACCUUGGUUGAACAAAAAGGACAUUGUUCAUAUGAAUAUUGAGGCUCAGAAAGCUCUAGAAAAAGAAACUACAUCUAGACAAUGCUCUAGGUUCAUUUAGAAAUACGAUAAGAAAGUAUCUCAGACAGUUGUCAGUCCAUCUACUAGGAAUCACAAUACAUUCAUAUAUGUUAAGAUUCUUAAGAGACCAUGUAUUCCCAUUAGCUCGAAUAUACAUGACACAUCAGUUAAAAAUUAUGUGAAAUAUGUUACUGUCGAGACUUUAUCUAAGAAAAAUGACUCUCAUCGGAAAGUAUCCUCUUCAUUGUUUAUUGCUACCUCGGAUGGCAUAAUUUUAAAACCAAAACAACUUUCAAAAUCCAAUGUGCCUACGAAAGCAAUGAAAAAAGGAAAAGAUACUCGAAACACCACUGAUAAGAAACCUUCAAAACGUUUAAAUCCUAAAUUUUCUUGGAAAAUAAAAGGGAAUGAAAAUUCAACUGAACCAUCUUAGAAAACUAUUCCUCCAAGGAAAGCAGUGUCCAAGCAACCAAUAGUUGAGUAUGACUUUUGGAUCAAUGAAAAGACUCUGACAUUAUGCAUAUUACCAAAAGAAUCUCAAAAGAAACUUUUUGAGAUACCAGUUGUUCAAAAAUCUUAAGCCAAGUCUAAAGCCCAGUCUAAAUUCCCAAAGUCUAACUCGGAAUUAACCUCAAAAACUUCGAAAUUCACUGAUUUUAUAGGCCUUCUAUGGUUCGGAACUAGAUACAAUAUCAUAUAUUGAUAGUGCUUGUUCCAUGCAGAUGACUGGGUAGAAAGAUUUUCUGCGUGAUUUGAAGCUUACUCCGAAUGUUCAUUAUGUUACAUAUGGAAACAACACGAAUUCCUAAAUUUGAGGUUAUAGCAUCCUAACCAACAACAAGUUCUUUGUCUCUAAUGUGGCGUCCAUGACUAAUCUCAAUCACAAUAUUAUCAGUGUAGCCCAACUUACUGAUGGAAAUCGGAGGGUUGAGUUAUGUAAGAAGCAUAACUACUUUAUGAUAGAAGAUCGGAAAGAAUGUCUCAUCAAUCCAACUUGGAACAAAAACAUGUAUCCUCCGAAUAUCAAUAUAUUUAUCAAAAAGCCUCAAUUGUUUCUUCUUAAGAAAUUUGUUCCUGACGUAAGUUGGUGAUGGCAUCAGAGGCUUGCUCAUCUAAAUUUCCGAUAUAUGAAUGAUCUGGUUUUUGGUGAAAUGGUCCGAGGUUUGCCACUCCUCAAAUUUGAGAAUGAUCAUCUCUGUGAUGCAUGUUGAUGUUGGAAGCAAUCCAAGAAAGGUCUCAUGUUCUGAUUGUUAAAUCAAUUUCUGAACGACUCAAUUUUAUAAAAGGGUUUGAUGUUCUAAAAAAAUUGCACGUCCGAAGAAUUCAUAGUGACAACAGAUAUGAGUUCACAUUCAAAAAGCUUCUUAAUAACAAAGGCAAUGAGCAAAUUUUUUUACUCCCUACAUUCCACAACAAAAUGGUGUCGUUGAAAGAAGAAAACGAACUCUAUUUGAAGUUGCUCGGUUGAUGUUUAACUUUGCAAAUCUUCCGAUUUAUUGUUGAGCCGAAGCAGUCUCAACAUCAUGUUUUUCUCAAAAUUGGAGUAUCAUCAACCAUCACCUCAACAUGACACCAAAUGAAGCAAUGAAUGGUUGGAAGAUGAGUAUCUCUUUCUUACACAUUUUAGAUGCAGAUGUUUCAUAAAAAAACAAUCGAGAUCAACUCACCAAGUUUCAAACUAAGUCAGAUGAAGCCAUCUUCUUAGGAUACUCUGCUAAACUGAAAGCUUACCGGGUUUUGAAUCAUCGUACCAGUGUAAUUGAAGAAAGGUUCGAUAUCACUUUUGAUGAUAAUUUUUUUCGAAACUAAGAACCAACUCAUAUCACGACACACAUCCUUGAGUCUGAUGCUCUACCUUCUGGGUCUUCGAAUCCUCAAGUUGUCUAUGAAGUCGAUUUCGAAAGCAUGUUCGGACCAAUAGAAACAUCUAUUGACUCGGAAUCUCGAUCAAGACCGUCUUCAACUCCCAGUCCUGUUUCUCAAAACAUAUCUGAUUUGACUCCAAAAUUUCCACCAUUUUAUUUUGAAUUAUUUCCAUCUCGGGUUGAGGUGGAGAAUGCAUCCACUUCCUUGCCUCAUGGGCAGGGAAGUAAUCUAUCCCUGAAAUCAAAUGUUGAUGGAUUUUUAGAUGCAAGAGAUCAUUUUUCUAAAAUUCAUCCAAUUUCAAAACAGCAAUGAAGACGAUCCAACUUAUUUGGCUUUCCGAACUAUGAUGAUGUAGGCAUAUCAGGUUUAGAAGUCUAGGGGGAGCAUUAUCCUCAAAUUCAAAUUGUUCAGGGGGGAACACAACCCUAUUGUUGACAACGGAUCAUCAACUGCAUAGGAGCUUCCGAGAUUAUAUAUCUAGACGACAAAGGAUCAUCCUCCAAAUCAAGUCAUCGGAAAUCUUAACGUCUGAGUUCCAACUCACUCAGCUGGUAAUAUUCAAAAUGAGUGUCACUUCUCUCCAUUCAUAUCAAUUAUUGAACCCAAAUCCAUCAAAAAAGAUCUAGAACAUUCCGCGAUUGAUUACAUCAAUGCAAGAAGAUUUAGCAGAGUUCGAUAGAAAUAAAGUGUGGACUCAUUUCCCUCCUCCUCUAGAUCGCCCUAUUUUCAGAACGUGAUGGUUUUUUCGAAACAAAAUCAAUGACCCAUGAGUCAUUAUCAGAAACAAAGCAAGAAUUUUAGCCAAAGGAUUCACUCAGAUCGAAGGUCUUGAAUAUGUCGAGACUUUUGCACAUGUUCCCCAUCUUGAAGCUAUAUGAAUCUUUCUCGCAUACGCUACUCAUAAAGGCUUCAAAGAUGACCAUUAAGAUGUUAAGAGUUCCUUCUUCAAUGGUGAACUCGAUAAUGAAUUUUAUCUUCAACAGUCUCCUAGAUUUGUGAAUCUAUCUUAUCCGAACUACUACUACUAACUCCAUAAAGCUGGUAUGGCCUCAAGAAAGCUUUGUGUGUGUGGUAUGAGACACUCACUUGUUUUCUGAAGCGUUCUGGUUCUUAGAGAGGAAUUCUUGAUCCUACAUUGUUCCAAAUAUCAAAUGAUAAACAUCUCAUGUUAGUUCAAAUAUAUGUCGAUGAAAUCAUCAUUGGGUCAGCUGAGCCAAUGAUGGUUGGUAACUUCGCCAUGCUGAUGGUUAGUUGAUUCCAGAUGAGUAUCGAUCAUGAGUUAAGUUUCUUUCUCAGAUUGCAAGUUAAACAAAACAAUAGAGGAAUUUGUCUUCAUCAAGAGAAAUACAUAUCUGAACUUCUGAAGAAAUAUUCAUAGGACACAUGUGCAUUUGCAAAAGUUCCAAUGGGUUUUGGACACAAGAUCUUCUUGGACCCAUUUGAUGUUGUCGUUGAUUAGAAGAUGUAUAGGGGAAUGAUUGUAUCAUUGCUAUACCUCACUGUACGUCCUCCAAACAUCAUGUUCUUGUUGCAAGCUGUUUAAUCCGAAGAUGUCUCACCUAUUAGCAGUAAAGCAAAUCUUCAAAUAUCUCAAAGGAACAAAGAGCCUUGGAAUUUGGUACCCUGCAAAUGAAAGUUUUUUGUUGCAAACUUUUUCGCACUAAAAUUAUGGGGGACUUCAACUUGAUCAAAAAAGUACAUCUAGUGGUUGUCAAUUUUUGGGUGGAAAACUGGUUAGCUGGUCAUCCAUGAAAAAGAACUUCAUAGUACUUGCAACAGCCAAAACAUAAUACAUUGUUGUUGGAAGCUGCACCUCUCAAUUUCUUUGGAUGAAAUCUCAGCUAUUAGAAUAUGGUUAUCAAUUUCAACAUAUUAUGAUAUAUUGUGAUUCUCAAAGUGCUAUCGCGAUCUCACACAAUUCGGUUCAACACUCCAUGACCAAAAAAAUUGAUAUUCGGUACCAUUUCAUUAAAGAUCAUGUCCUAAAAGAUAACAUUGAUCUCAUUUUUAUUCCAUCUGACGAUGAAAUUCCUGAUGUCUUUACUAAGGCAUUAGACAAAACUAAAUUCAAUAGUUUUCUGAACAAAAUGGGAAUGAUGAUUCCAAUAUCCUCAAUUCUUCCAAGAAAUUUGUACUCUCUGCAUCGUUAAACUUAAACCAGAAAAUGACCAAAUUAUAAUGGCUUUUAACUUUUAUGUAAAUUCCCUAUUUUCUAAAAAGUGCAUCGAUAAAGAAUUUACAAAGCCAAAUAGAAACAUGAGUGUGAAUUUUCCAGGAAUAAAUGCACCAAUUCCAGAAAAUGCAGAUUAAAAAAUUAAGUUACAUAGCUGAAACAUUAAAUCUAUUAACUAAACCCAACACAAGGCGCUUAUCAACUAACAUGCAUUCACCUGAAAAUGUCAAAUGGAGAUUUUUUUUGAGUUUAAUUCUCAAAAGAUUUAUAAUAAACAAAUAUUUAAUUACCGUUUGGACGAAGAUGCCCUUCAUAGAGCUACUCGCCGGAUUUUGGCCAUACAUCAUGUUUGGAUCCAAAUGACUAUAGGUUUGGAUCCAUAAUUAACGAAAUUGGUAGCCCUCUAUCACCAACUGUUUCCUUUGAAUAAACUUCGGACCAGACUCGCAUUAACCUUCACCUUUCAGUGGCACGAUAUUAACAACCGGCAAUAAAUUUUAAUUUUUAAUUGUUAAUUUUUGGUGUGUGUAAAAGAAAGAAAGAAAAAAAUAAAAUGAAAAUAAUAUACCUUCCUAUCAUUAAAAGUAGUUGUUGCAGAGAAACACACAUAUAUGGGGAAAAAGGUUGACGAUUCAGCUGGAGGUACAACAAACUCCUUUGACCUGCUACACAUAUCAUCAACCAUGUCAACAACAAAAAGAUAUUCUAGGAAAAUAAAUAUAUUAAAAAAUUUGAAAAUAUAAAACUUUUAUCAACCAAAACUUUGGUUUGAGUCAUCAAUCCGAACCACUAUUCUAAAAAGCUCAUCAUGUCUAUGUGUAACAUUCCAAAAAUUUCAACAAAUUUAAACUUUUCAAAACAACCUAGUUACUGAUAAAAGUGUUUACAAAAACAUUGUCUCCACAACAUGAUUUAAAACCAGAGUCUCCCAAGAUCCAAUCUGUUGUAAAACAAAGCAUAUGUGCAGUCAUGCCUUCGCCUUGCCACGAAUUAUCUGAAGAACCUGAAACCAAAAACAAAACUAUAAGCACAAGCUUUGUGAGUUCCCCCAAAGUACCAACACACAAACAAAUAGCUCAUAUACAACAACAACAUGUACUAGGUCCAUAGCUAAAAGACUGGAUUACCCCUGAGACCAUAAUAUGAGUAUGGCUUACCUUUCGUGCCCAUAGAUCAUAGACAAAAUUGCAAAAAUGGUCCCUGUGGUAUGUCAAAACUAGCAACUUUGGUCCAAAAUGGGUUUGAAUCGCAAGGAUGGUCCAAUAGUUUCGUUUUGUUGUGAGUUUAGUCCACAUUCCUAUGAACUUUUUAAUAAUGACGGAUUUGCCCCUUAUUAUUUUAUUUUCCAUUUUUCUUUUAUUACAACAGUUAGAAAACAAUUAAAAAUAAUACAAAAUAAAUCUCUCUCUCUCUCUCUCUCUCUCUCUCUCUCCUGCGAAUUAGGACUACGAACUCAACCCUUUAUCAUUUACCUUUUCUUGCUUGCUUUCACUUACAACCUUACCAUCACGUAAAUUAGCGCCAUGAACACAUACAUAAAUAUCUCCAUGAUUAUCUUCAUCUUCAUAUGAAAAAGAAUCUCGAUCGUCGGAAUCAUUGAAAGGUUCGACCAUAACAAACUCUUCAUUUUCUACUCUUAUGCCAGAACGAGAAGAUAUGUGUUCACUUCUUACCACUCAUCUUAGUCUUUAUCAAUAUCUAACAAAUCUGAUUGAUUUUGAACAUGGAGUCUUCUUUUUUGAGGAUUAAAAUGCAAUUAAGAGUUAUUCCCAGAAUCAGUGACCCAGAGAAACGAGAUUAGAGUAAACAACAUCUUGGAAGAGUUGUUGUUCUUCGUGAGUACAUUUAUAUGAUACUUCUUUCCCCGUUUUGUGUAACCCUAAAUUGAUGAAUCUUUCAAGCCCUAGAGUUGUUGUUCUUUUGUGUAACCCUAAAUCGAUGAAUUUUUAGGCUCAAUCUGAACCUGCUUCAUCAAUCUGAAUCUCCCUCUUCUUCGAUUUUGCAUGAUGGUUGCUAAGAUUUUGUUGAAUCAUGCGUCUGCGUAAGGGAGUUAUGACCUAGUUUUAGGGAUGAUAGAAGGGAAACGGGAAAGGGAAGGGGGGGAAAUGGGUUGGCGUACGGUGAGGUUUGAUAGUGUCGGUGCCUUGGAAGGACUGGACAUGCCUUGGAGUCGCCAGAGUACUCGUGUCGGAGGUCAUUCCGGUGGAGAGGAAACAUUGUAGAAGAAAUAGGGGAGGGAGACGAUGUGUUUGCGUUUAUAGCUUAUUUAUUUUAUUUUGUUUUAUUUUUAAUUGUUUAGUUUUAUUGUAAUAAAAGAAAAAUGGAAAAUAAAAUAAUAAGGGGCAACAAAACAAAACUAUCGGACCAUCCUUGUGAACCAAACCCAUUUUGGACCAAAUUUGCUAGUUUUGACAGACCACAGGGACCAUUCUUGCAGUUUUGUCUAGAUCAUAUUUUUCCUGCUCUUGAGCCCACAACAUAAGUCUGGCUUGCCCCCGGGGCCUAGAGCUUAUGCCUGGCUUGCUCCCAACCCAAUAAUCAUCGGACUAGAAUACCAAUGUUCAACCCUCAAUACGAGUCUAGUAUACCAACCGGUCCUCAGCUUGUAUUUAGAAUGCUACCGAGCCCUCAGUAUGAGUCUGACAUGCCCUACCCGACCCUUAUCUCAUAUUUGGAUUGCUUUAAUACCCUCAAGCCCUCAAUACAAGUCUGGCAUACAAACCGGGUCCUAAGCUCGUAUUCGGAAAGCACCUGAGCCCUCAGUAUGAGUCGGGCAUGCCCUACUCGGACCUCAGCUCAUAUCUGGAAAGCUUCAGGGUUUGUUGGCUACAACACGAAGCACUAUAACCUCAACCCAAUACAAUAUGCCGACAGCUAACAAACAUAUACAGGUACUCGUGUGGAUAGAAUCACAGGUAGUCCUACUUAUCUACCAGACUAGCAUAUCAAGACUAGCAUGCAUAUCUAUUCCAUACUCAACAUAUCAACAAUAUCAGGUUACCAACCAAUGGGCCAGCCUUGGUGCCUUUAACCCGUGAUUAUAGUGAGGAAAACUCACCUCGCACUAUAGAAUCAUACCGACGAUCCGUGGCUGCUGGCUGACAGAUCCCUAAACCGCCAAUAUCAAGACAACACCCCAUCAACAGUUGGUCCCACAAAUAAUCUCUGACUGCAGAUCCUCUAAAAUCCAUGCACUAUCUAAUUCCACAAUGACAACCCAUCAACAUCUAGACCCUAACUCACACUAUGAGUCCAAAUUAGGGUAAAAGACCUUUUUACCCUUCCUCAAGCUUGGCCCAGUGACAAGGCCCAAACUAGAUGACGAAAGGCCCAAAAUAAAAUAAAACAUCUAAGGCCCAAAUAUGCCCCAAUUUUCCAAAUUGGACCAAAUUCUUUUCGUGGGCUUUUACUGAAGAAAGUCCAACAAGUGAAACAGACCAACCAUAAAAAUCCAGAUGGCCCAACAUGGCCCAACACAACCAAGCCCAAACCAAAUCCCAAAACGAAAACCCUAAGUCUACCGAGUACGCGGGGCAUACUCAGCCUGUACGCUCAGCAUACAACAUGGAAGGCUUGUGCGCGCAGUGUACAUACUUGUACGCCCAUCAUACUCAUCAACCAUAGCCAUCUUUCCAAUUUAGCACUUAAUCCAUUAAGACUUGCGUCCAAACUCAUAUAUGACUUCUCCAAGGUGGUUAAUCACAUAAAGUUGCCAACUUUAUGUGCAUGCAUGGCUAAAUGGGACUCUAGAGCUUAAAGGAGCUUAAUACAUGCAUGGAACCAAAAACACCAUAAAGUUUGCACCUUUAUGCCCAAGGAACCCAUGAUAUAUCCAAAUCUACAAUUUUAAGCUUCAAAAACGACAUUAACUCCCACUCAUCAACCAAAAGGGUCAAAAUGACAAAAAAUGAACCAAGAGGAAGAUCUAUGAAAUGAAAAGGCAAAGUUUGGACUUUAUACCUCCCAAGCCACCAAAAGAAGAUGCAAAUGCUAGAUCUUAAAGCUUUCCUUUAAAGAACAAAUCUUCAAGUUUCUCCUUCUUCUUCUAGAUCUACAAAACCCUCCACAAAAUCUCACAAGAGCUUCAAGAUCACCAAACAUGGGCUAAGGGUCGAAUUAGGGUUUCUAGAGUAUGGGGGCUAGCUUAGAAAUGAUCACAAGAGACUAACAUAAGGCUUAUAAAUGGUACAACACAAAAAUUAGGGUUUUCCUUACUUAUCAUGCCUUGCACUCCCGCAUCACCCUUCACAGUACGCCAAGCGUACUCACCUCUGCAGCAACACGCCGCACAUACUCCCUUGGUACGCCCUGCUUACUAGGGUCCCCUCUUAAACCCUAAAACACUCUGAAGGCCACAACUUCCUCAAUCUAAGUCCGUUUCGAUGAACUUUAUAUCCACAGAAAGGUGAUGAGAAACCCUACACUUCUAGAAACCCAUCAUAGGCUUAAAACUCCUCGAGCCCAAGACGCAACACAUAAUGGACCCAACAAUCUCCCCCUUUGCGUAAAUUGGGGCGAGACUCUACUUUGGCUUACUGGAUCCUGCUGCAUUAACCUUCUUCGUGGUUUCGAACAGGCAAGGAAUGAUGGCAAGAAUAGUUCGUCGGAAACGAAUAUACCGGUGGAUCAUGUCAUUGAAGUAUCUCUUAUCAUCUUCAGAAUUUUGCUUACACCGAUUGAUGAUCCCCAGAACAUGCUCCAGACACGUAGUGGUGUAAAGAUGUUUAUCAACUAAAGCGAACAGACAUUUCUGGCCUUCAUUCCUGGUGAACAUAACCAAGUUUCGCUUCGGAUCAAUCCUCCCCAUCUGCAUUUUAUUCAGAUCACUUGCAGAACCGACUGGGGAGAUGGUGGACUUCUUCCUAAGUACAUUUUCAAUUUCCUGAUCCAUCUUGGCAACCUCCAUUAUAUAACAAACCAACAUCCUCUUGAAGGGAUCUAUGAUCGGCCCAUAUUUAGCUUCAUUGGUGAGGAGGAUGUUAUGCAGAAUGAUCCAAUCGUGAGGAUUUAGAUUAGGAAGAUCAGCGAGAGUAAUGGCAUGUUCGGCUUUAUCUGACCCCCUCAAGACUUUGAAUCUGAUGUUCAUGAAAUUACCCUCCCGAAAGGGUUUGAGGACCCGAACAUUGACAAUCUUAUGUGCACUCCACGUCUGAUACUGAGGCUGAGCAAACCUCAGAUAGAAAUCAAUAAGUUCCAUAUCAACCUUCGGGUGAGGAUGAGGGAAUUCAGCUAUAUGGGGAAAUGCAUGAAAAAUAAAUGCCUUUCAGGUAAAGGGCAUGUCGAAUUGAGAAUCAACAUAAUUAGCCCUGUCCAAAGAGAUCACAUGUUCAAGCCAGAGGAUGCUAGGGGACUCGAUAGCUUCUUUGAUAAGCUUAUCAAGAGUCCAUGGAGGGAAUAAGGUUUUUCGACUUUCAAGGAGAUCAUGAGCCUCUUUCAUCUUCAUUUCAUUUGCUUCCGCCUCCCUAGCAAUCCGAGCAUUCAUGUCCAGUUCCUUGUCCCUGGCCUGUUUCUUCAAAAUAUCAGCAAUGGUUUCUUUGUCUUCGUCUCCAUCACUGUCAUUGAGAACCUUUUUGCCUUUUUCUUGAGCACCCGAACCUGAUGCAUGACCAGUUGUUGGUGGUUCGGUUGCUUUAGUUGGAACUGAUGAAGAAAUUGGAGGUGGUUGGGACUGAGUUGUGGAAACAGGAGGAGGUUGAGAUUGAUUACUGCCCUUUGAAGCUCCUUCUCCCCCAUGUUUUGGAUGGACCACUUGCGCAGGAAGCCCCUCAAUUUUGCUAAGCAUGGAAAGAGCAGGAGCAAGUUUCUCAGCAAGAGUUCGCCUCACUGAGUAGUUGAGAAUCGGGUCAUGCGCUUCAAUGAUGUUCGAGAGGGCUCCGUGGACAUCCGAAACAUAACUCCUAACCACAUCACGCUCAAAUUGAAGAGAAUCAACCUCCUUCUCAGUUUGGGAAAGUUGAAGACUCUUGGUUUUUAGCGCAGUUGUUUUGCGUGCAAGCGCAUCCAUCACAGAAUUUUCCGUGGCAAGCUCUUCUUGGAGCUUGGUCAGGCGAUCAUCAACGGUUGUCUAGAAAGAUUUAUUGUCUGCUUCUAGGGUCUGACGAAGACUGGCGAAGUGGUGCUGUUCUGUUUCAAAGGAAGUAGCCAACUUCUUAACAACCGAAUUAAUCUUCGCUGCAUUAGAUUCGGCUGCCCCCUGUAAAGACUCCAAAAAUAUGGUAGCAUCUCGAAAUAGUUUUUCGACUUUUUCGGUCACAGCAACACAAGCCUUUGUUGAUGGAGGCUUCGUGUGCCUUGGUGAAAGUAUCGACCAUCCCCUGAAUGGCAGCUUCCGUAAUAUGGGACCGAGAGGAGGAGGAAGAAACGACGAGAUUAUCAAUCUUCUCGUGAAGUUCCUUGAUGUGCUUUUUGGUGAUAGGAGCAUUACCAUCAUCAUCGCUGUGAACCUGGUAGGGACUGUAGUAAACUGAAUCGAAGGUUAUAUCUUCCCCUCCUAGAAAUGUCUCGGUUUCGGCUGAGUGAUUGGGAGAUAAAGGCGAUGUUGGAAGUUGGGUUGUGGGAGUAGGUUCGGGUGUGAAAGUGGGUUUGGUUGUAGGUGUGUGUUUGGGUGCUGAAGUAUGAUCCCCGUAUCAGAUACGUUGGUUCAAACUCCAGUGGUUGUUGUUUUUGUGGCUUCAGAGAAGAUGGGAGGUGGUAUAGGAAUACAAGUGGGUGGAAUAUGAGUGGAUGAAGUUAUGGGGGGAAUGGAAAUAGGGAUAGUGAUAGGUGGAGAAGAGACAGGUUCGGUUGUGACUGGUACCUCAGGUGAAGGCGAACGGGGAGGAGAGUCGCCUCGAAUCGACCCCUCUGAGUCUGAACUUUCAUCCUCUGAGUCGCUUGAGGAAGAAGCAAGAAUAAGUUUUCGUUUAGGCUAAGUUUUCGCCUUCUUCGGUGGAGGUGAUUGGGCUGCUUUUGUAGAUUUUCUCUUCUUAGGAGUAGGGCCUUUCGCCCCUUUUACCACUUUCUUUCCUUUCCCUUUCUCUGGUUUCUUGCCUCUGGGAGCAGGUUUGUCUGCGUCAUUGAUGGAUUGAACCAUCUCUGUAGUCAGCUCUCUUGGACCCGAUGGAAGAAAUUCCUUGUAGGUCUUGAUGAUGUGGCUCUCUGCUGAUACAUAAGCAUACAUGGACUCAGGAAUUGAGCCAACAAAGAUAAACUUGGAGGGAUAAGUAACGAUGAUCUUUGUAGUGUGGAACACGCCAAUCGAGGAGAGUAGAGAAGUGGCCACAGUUAGGACAUGAUACUUGUCCAUUGCCCAUUUGGUGACGAUCGUCCAGAACCUGGCAUAGGAGAUUUCAGUGUGUCGAGAGGUAGAGGCGAGGCUUUGAAUCAACUGCUGCCAGAGAACCGAGCCAUAGUCGAGGUUGAUCCCAUUGUACAACCCAUAAAGAAUUGUCAUGAACAAACGACUGGCCCCAUCAGAUUCUGCACUCCUCUCAGAUAACCCUUUGAACAAAAUCAUGAAGAAACCGUUCCAUUAAGGAGGAAGGCACGACUUCUUGAACUUCGUGACAGUAGUAAGGGUUUCAGUGUAACCCAUGUUGUAAAACAUGGAGAAUAAUUGACCCACAGUGAUCGGAUCAGGGUUAACCCUCAAUUUGUCAGGUUCAAACCCUAGAAGCGAGCAAAAUCGCUGCUUUGAGAUGGAGGUUUUGGUGUCAAGGAUGUCGAAGUAGAUGCGAUCAAUACAUUUUUUCGUAGUGAGAUGUGGAGAAAAUCUGGGAUAGACAUUCCAUAGGCACAAUUUCAACCUUGGUGAGUGCGAGCACCAGUGGAGAUUAUUUGAGACACUCCACUAUGGGAUACAUGAAGGCAUCAUAGGAGAUUGGGGUGAGGUCGAUGACCAGGCUUUGCUAAGGUCUGAUUGGGAGAAUGUUGGAGGUUUCAUAAACAGAGGAGGAAUCCGCCAUUGUUGAAUGCUUCAAAGAAGAAGAUGAACAGUGGGAGAAAAAUCGCCUUUGCUUGCUCUCAGAAAUUUGGGUUGCAGUAAAAAGGUAAAACAACUAGGGUUUAACCCUUUAUACCGGGUAUGGAGGUGAGAGAAAAUUUCGCCCCCAAAUCCUCUUGAAAUGCGAAACGGUUCCUGAUUUGAUUGAAAUGUGACAGUUAGCAACCCGAUGAUUACGCAUGAGAGAGAAAAACGUUUCCGUUUAGCACGCCUUCCCACCAAAUCCCCUUUUUGAAUUCUGGAAACCUUUAAUCUUCUGGCUGAGUCAUCAUCUUAUCUUUUAAAUGAGCUGUCAUCAUUAAAUAAAAUCAAAGACUUAGAAAAACCACAACAUUCCCUUGUUGAGUAUAUCCUUAAGAACCAAAGCUACAUAAAGGAAAAUAGCUUGUAGAGAACCAAACCAGACUUUUGGAAAAUCAAAAAGAUCUUCGUGCAUAAAGUGUCAAAGAUAAAGAAAUAAAGCAACAUCUAUAUGGGAAUUUGUGAUGUCAAUAUAGACACGAAACUGUGGAUCCUGGGCACGAAUCGCUUCCUUCAAAGUCAAGAGAGACUUUAAAGUGUCUGUGUGGUUUCCCGUUGAAUUACGAUCAAGCACUUGUUAAGAAGUGUUGAAAGGCAUCUUUUGAUGAGGCUUAUAAGGGUGGCUCUCACUUCAGUUCAGAAUUCCGGAUCUUGACGUAAGACCGAAACCGAACGAAGUACCUGUGAGACCGAUGUGGUCUGUUGAACAAGUAGGUUUGGACUAUAUUCAAUGACUUGUUGGAAAUGUUUGGCGUGAAAUCUCAAAAAAAAUNAAAAAAAAAAAAAAAAAAACUGGAUUCUAUGGGAAGAAAUGUUAUGGUGUGUAACAAUUUCAUAAAAAUCACACAAAAAGAAAAACAGAGAUUUCAUGGUACAUCCACUUGGGUGGUUUCGUUAAUUCAUUGGUGAAAGCUAGAGCAAAUUUAAUUUUUCACCGUCAAUUCAUAGUAGGUAUUGAAUUUUGGGUUUCACUUAGCACGUGGUGACAUGAAGCUAAGAUCAUAAACACAGAGAUUGUUUAACCAUAAACCUCAGAGGAUAUUUCUAAGAGUCUCAAGGGUUACAUUUAUGAACCGAAAUGUGAUGGAGAAAAGUGUUUGAGGUGUUGUAAAGAAACCAAAGUACCUCUGCUAUAAAAAGAAUGACCAAGCAGAAAAAUCUUAACUCAUAUGAGAAAAGAGUAAGGUAGCUCAUGAUUAGAAUAAAUUUAGCAGUCUAAUUGGGAAGACGAGGUUUGUAUAUACUCAGUCAAUAAGGCUUUAUUCAAAAUCGGUUGAGGCUUUGGACAACAUGCAACAACAUGCUUCUAGGGACACUUAGCUAGUAUAAAGUGUGAGAAUGAUACCUGCCCCAUCAAUAUUCCAGAAACUGUUAACAUAAAUAGAAGUACAGACAAAAAAAAAGAAAAUAUUUUUGGAAUUUUGAUAAUUUUGUAAAUAGAAAAACAAAACAAACCAAACAAAAAAUAAUUGAACCGAACCAGAAAUGUACCGAACACUCGGUUCAUUUCGGUUCCUUAAAAAAAUAUUUUUGGAUUUUUGGAAAACAGUUGUACAAAAGUAUACAACCAAAUACAUCACCUUUUUGAGAUAAGCGAAAACAAGUGCAGUGGGACCGAACCCGAAAUAGACUGAGGGUUCGGUUCAUUUCGGUUCUCGUGUGAACCGAGCCCAAAAUAGACCGAGCGUUCGGUUCAUUUCGCUUCCAACUUUUAGUUUUGAGAAGGUGUUUUUGGUACUGACUCCGAUUCCAUCAUACCUAGGCCUUGUAGGAUUUUAUUGAAACUUUCUUCAGGAAGGGCUUUGGUGAAGAUGUCAACUAGUUGAUCAGUUGUUCGAACAAAGUGAAUUUCGACGUUUCCAUCUUCCACAUGAUCCUUAAUAAAGUGAUACCUUAGUGCUAUAUGCUUGGUCUUGGAAUGUUGCACUAGGUUAUGACAGAUCCUAAUUGCACUUUCUGAGUCGCAAUAUAGUGGGAUCUUUUUCAUAUUGAGUCCAUAAUCUCGGAGUUGGCUUUGGAUCCAAAUCACUUGUGAUGUGCAGGAGGCGGCUGCAAUGUACUUUGCUUUGGCUGUAGAUAGAGAAACACAUGUUUGUUUCUUCGAUUUCCAGCUAACCAACUUUCCGUCUAGGAAUUGGCAGCCUCCUGUGGUGCUUUUUCAGUCUAGACCACAGCCUCCUAAGCCUGCAUCUGAGUAGGCUUGAACGAAGAAAGCUGAGUUUGAGGGAUACCAGAGACCGAGAGAGGUGGUUCACUUCAAAUACCAGAAUAUAUUCUUCACUGCCAGCAUGUGUGGUCCAUGAGGAUUUGCUUGAAACUUGGCACAAUAGCAUACUGAAAACAUUAUAUCGGGCCUGCUAGCUGUGAGGUACAUCAGGGAACCAAUCAUUUGGCGAUAUAGCGUUAUGUCGACUGCCGGUUUUUCCAAAGAUGGUGUGAGCUUGGUGUCGAACGCCAUAGGGACUUUGACCUUUGAGUCUCCCAUCAUGCCGAAUUUGGCAAGGAGAGUCUUUGUGUAUGCUUCCUGGUUGAUAAAAAUGCCUUCGGGUCCCUGUCUAAUAUUUAAACCAAGGAAAAAGUUAAUCGGACCCAUUGAGCUCAUUUCAAAUUUAGUCUCCAUCAACUUCCUGAAUUCAGCUGUUAGGCUAGGAUUCGUGGAGCCGAAGAUGAUAUCGUUGACAUAGAUUUGAACGAUCAUAAGGUGGUUACCUUCCUUUUUACGAAAGAAGGUUGGGUCAACCGAACCUUGUUUGAAUUUAGACAUCUUUAAAAACUUAGUUAAUGUUUCAUACCAUGCCCUAGGAGCUUGUUUCAGACCAUAAACUGCUUUAUCCAAGAUGUAGCAGUGAAUUGGAUGCUUUUCAUUUACAAAACCAGGAGGUUGCUCCACGUACACGGUUUCUUCAAGUUCCCCAUUCAGAAAGGCACACUUCACAUCCAUCUGAUAGACCUCAAAGUUCUUGUGUGCAUCAUAGGCAAGAAAUAUUCGAACGGAUUCCAACCUUGCAACCGGAGCGAAUGUCUCUUCGUAAUCGAUUCCUUCUUCCUGGCAAUAUCCUUUCACCACUAGCCGAGCCUUAUUCCGGAUCACAUUUCCCUCCUUGUCCAUUUUGUUUCUGAACACCCAUUUGAGACCGACAACCGAGGCAUCUUUUAGUGUUGGAAUAAGUCUCCAGACCUUAUUUCUUUCGAACUCAUUGAUUUCGUCUUGCAUAUCCUGAACCCAAUCAGAAUGGUCGAGAGAAAUAUUGACGGUCUUCGGCUCUAUUUUGGAGAUGAAAGAAUUAAACAUGCAGAAUUCUACUUUGGAGAACAGAGCAGUUUGCUUCGCCUUCAGUUGUGAUCAAGUUAGAACCUUUUCUGAUGCAUCACCCACAAUUUGAGAUACAGGAUGAUCUCUGGUCCAUUUGGUGAGAGGAUGAUAAUUUGGAUCAUAAGAGGGAUCCAAUUCAGCAUUUACCAUUUCUUCCAUCUUUGAUUGAAUAUCAUCAUCAUACUGCAUAUUGGAAUUCUCCCCCUCGACAGAUGAUGAAUCAUUUGGAUGUGAACCAAAAAUUCUUUCUUCGACUGGACUUUCGGACUAUUCCGGACUUUCGGUUGCCACAGGACUUUCGGGUGCAACCGGGCUUUCGGUUCUGGCUGGGCUUUCGGGUUGUUCCGGAUUUUCGGUUGCUAUAGGACUUUCGAGUGCAACCGGGCUUUUUGGUUCUGGCUGGGCUUUCGGUUCCGUCAAAGAUUGGAUUCUCCCCCUGGCCAUGAGCAUUAUCGUCGAUUGAAAAUGAUGGACCCUCCCCCUGGAUAUAUGAGUCCUGUCAAUCUGAAGAGAAUUGAUUCUCCCCCUCGACUGAAGUAUUGCUCUGAGGAGGGUCGUUUCUAACCGGUUCUUCUUCUGCCAUUUGUUUGGCUGCGUCUUCGAUAAUCUUCUUAAGGUGAUCCACCUUGUUGUCUGCUUCCAUGGCUUCAGAGUGAAUAGCCUUCUCAGGUUCAUCAAAUAAAUCCAUGAACUGGUCAAACAAAUUGGCGAUUGAGGCUGUGACCUGACCGGUUUGAGAGAAAAUUUCUCCAAUUGCCCCUUCGGUAGACUUCAACUUCUUGAUGUAAUUGUCAUCGAAUGUUACUUAAUAGGUUUCUUCAAUUCGUUUAGAACACUUAUUCAGAACCCUGUACGCCUUUGAAGUAAAAGAAUAUCCCAGAAAUAGCCUUCAUCGGCUUUGACAUCAAAUUUGUUGCGAUGCUCUUUGGAGUUGAAAAUGAAUCACCUCGAGCUGAACACAUGAAAGAAGUUAACAUUCGGCUUCCUGUUGUUAAGAAUCUCAUAGGGGUGAGAGAGAAACGCUUGUUGAGAUAAGAUUUGCUUUUAGUGAAACAAGCUGCAGCAAUGGCGUCUGCCCAGAAAUAUAGAGGAAGGGAGGCAAAACUCAGCAUGGUUCAGGCCGCCUCACACAAGGAUCGGUUUUUCCUUUCGACAAUUCCGUUCUGUUGAGGUGUAUAGGGAGCUGAGAAAUUGUGACUGGUGCCUUUUUCCGCUAAGAAAUCAUCGAAUUCUUUGUUCUUGAAUUCCAGUCCAUUGUCGCUCCUGAUAUUUCGAACGACUUUUCUCAGUUGCACUUCGAUCUGCUUGAUGAAGAUCUUCAGCUUGCGNCUUUAGAAAGAAUACCCAAGUAAAUCGUGAGAAGUCAUCAACAAUAACAAGGAUGUACUUGUUACCGCCAAUGCUCUCGAUUGAUGAUGGACCACAUAAGUCGAUGUGAAGCAACUCAAGGGAUUCAACAACUUUGGUGAUGGUUGUUGGGUGACUUUGGCGACUUUGUUUCCCCAUUUCACAAGCAGCACAUAAGUGUUCUUGAUCGAACUUAAGCAGUGGAAGACCCCGAACAUGAUCACCGAUGACUAGCUUGUUGAUGUCUUUGAAGUUGAGGUGUGAGAGCCUUCGGUGCCACAACCAACUUUCGUCUGAAUGGGCUUUAGACAAUAGACAUAUGGCUGGAUUCCCUUUGAUUGGGUUGAGAUUCAGAGGGAACAUUUCACAUUUUCGUUCUGACUUGAGAAUAACCUUGUUGGAUUUCUUCUCUAUUAUCUCUGAACCUUCAUCAUCGAACGAGACUUUGAGACCUGUACCUCCCACCAGUUGAGACACACUGAUGAGGUUAUGCUACAACCCUUCUACAUAAGCCACCUUCCUGAUUGUAAAUUCUCCAUUGGUUAUCAUCCCAUAACCCUUUAUUGUUCCAUACGAGUUGUUACCAAACUUGACGUUACCACCGUUUUGAAGGGACCGAAACUCCCUUAGCUUUUCCUUCCUUCCUGUCAUGUGACGUGAGCAGCCACUGUCUAUGUACCAUUCUUCGUCGAACUGCUCGUCACUUAUAACCUGCAAAAAUUAAGCAGAUUUAGGAACCCAAAGUUUCUUGGGUCCUCGUGAGCCUUUCACAGAAACAGGAAUAGUAAGAGAAGCAUCAACAAGAUAAGUUCGUUUUAUUAAUGUUGUUUUAUCUUUCAUCUUAAUAGUAAAUACUUUGAUUUUAUUGGAGUUAGAUUCAAGUGUUUUGGAUUUAGGUUCAGGAGUUUGGGCUUUGGCUUGCUUUCGGUCUUCAUUUGCUGAGGAAUUCUUACUUUUUCCUUUCAAAUCCUUCGUCAAUUGUGAGCUUGGAGUAGGACGAGAAUUAGGCUUAGAAGAAGUAGGAGAACGAGAAGAAUUAGAGGAAUGGAAAUUAGAGUGAGAAUCUUUCCUGACUUGAGGUUUGAAAUGACCCUUUCGGUUGUAAUCAUUUGAGGGACUGAACCUGGACCUUCGGCUGCUAUUUGUUGAUGGAUCGAAGCUGGGUCUUCUGUUGUAAAAGCUUGAAGGACUGAACCUUGGUCUUUGUCUGUUGUUGUUUGGUGGAACGAAACCAGGCUUUUAGUUGUCGUUACUUUCAGGACCGAACCUUUCCUUUCGUUCUUGUUCUUUCUGUGGUCUGAAAGUCUUCUUUUGGUUCUUAUGAUCCAAUGGACCGAAGCUCCUUUUAUCCUUAUUCUCUUCUCCUUUUGGCUUGGAUUUUCUAUCAUAGUGAGUAUAGUGAGGAUUUUGAGAGCGCCAAAAUUGCUUUCGCUCUAAGAGAUUUUUCUUGUAUCUCAGAUUCCUCUGCUACUUUUGACUGUUCACCUGUUUCGGUUGUCUAUGAAUAUUUGCCUCUUGUUUCGGCUUCUAAACAACAGGUUCACUUUCCAUGGAAGAGGUUUAACUUGUUGAGGAGCCGUGUUCCACUGGAACCUCUUUUGUGCCACUGGUACUGGGCACGUCAAAGUUGGUAGGUUUAUUAAGUGGUUCUACCACAUAUCUACCUUUAACCUUCCAUGAUGUUCGCUCCGACAAACCAACUGUUUCAUCUGCGUUGUCUAUUGGUGCAGUCCAGAAAAACUCAUCACAACCAUUUGCAUUAUCUUCAUUCACCAAUGCAGUGAGUUCGGAUGUCUGAUGUUCGGGUACUCCUGUGACCUUAUAAACCUGAUUGGGAGUGGUUCUUACCUUUUGGUAUACAACGACCUUUUCUUUAGGAAUUGGGGACUUAUUUUUGGACAGACGAGCGAAUUCCAUAGAAUUUUCAGAAAUCAAGUUUUUGUGGUUUUCAGGUUCGCUCCUAAUAAACUCUGAACAAUCAACCUCAUCCACUACAAAGAUUUCACUCCUGUCAUCGUCCUCAUUAAGUUCAAAUGCAUUUUCAACAUCAAUUUUAUUUUCUAAACUUAAUUUGGUACUCAAUGAGUCAAAUUUUUGUAUAGUUUCGGCUCUGAGUUUCAACCUGUCAUUUUCAUCCAAAAGGUUCUUAAGCAUGUCCUUAUGGUCUUUGGACUUUAUAAACGAUUCACUUUUGUCCAGACCAAACAUAUAAGUGGGAUUAACAUCAUCAGAAGAUACAACACUUUCACAGUUGUAUGCUUCGGCAUCGAUUUCAUUCUCCUUUAGCUCAAGGAAGGGCAAAAUCAUGCGAUGUAUUUUCUGGCCUAUUUCACAGUCUAAAUUCAGUUGUGUAAUGUGAGUGUAAAGUCUUUUUGCAAUCAAACAAAAAACAUUUCUCUGUUUUAACAACUUAAGAUUGUCUCUUUGCAAAUAGAUAUUUUCAUCCCUAGACUUAACCAGCUCCAACUUUUUCUGCUCAAUCCACAUUCUUCGCUCCUCACUCUUGGAUGACACCCUGCUUAUUUGGUCAGUCAGAUUAGAAUUCGUGACUCGAGUUUGAGUUAAACAACUAUCUAGAUUUCAAGUUCUUGAAUUCAAGUUAUUUAAUUCUUUUUCAUAUGAUGUUUGUGGAAUUUUAAACGAAACAAAAAUGGAUUGUACCUUCUUGAUCAGUUCAUCAAGUUCACUGAUCUGAACACUGAGAGGCUUCGCUGUAAAGCACACGUCCUCUCGCUCCUUAGCCACUUCGUUUCCACCAUCAGUGUUGUAUCCCCUCAUCUGGGACACAUCUGUCACCAUCAAGCAUCUUGCAAUAGCAUCACCACUCUUCGCCACAUAAGCCUUUCCAUGAUUAGGCUUUCUCAGUUCAUCAUCUUCUGAAUCGGUCGACCACACCUAUACACCACCGAACUCAUCAUCAUCUACCGAACCCUGCACGAUUAGAGCAUUCAUAGAGUGAUUAGUAGAAGCUUUAUUCCUUUUAAUCUCCUCCAGUCUUUUCAGGAGAUUUGAUUCUGAUGGGUUUUGGUCCUAAGAACAUCCUAUGUGCUCAUACAAACCCUAAUGCUUGGAUCUAGGUUUCUCUAUUGUACAUGCAAGUUAUCCAAGACUAUAAACCCUAAUUCUAGCAUUCAAGUAAUCAUAUUAACAUGAGAAUAGGUUUAAGAUGUUACCUUGAUUGUUAUGUAGCAAUAACAAUCCCAAAUCUCCUUGUAUUGACUUUAGAAAGCUUAGAGUCACAAAUGUCACUCCUCUAAUGGUUCACAAACACCAUAAGCAAGAGGAUGAAGAGGAGAGAGGAUGGAUGCUGCCCAAAACGUGUUCUAACCCUAGAAGAAAGCUUCACCACGUUUUUGGGUCAUAAUGGUCUUAUAUAUAGCUAGGCAAUUAGGGUUAUCUAACAAGGAAACCCUAAUUUGGAUGCUUAAGCCCUAAGCAACCCAUGGACUCCUUUAAUUAGGGCCUCGGAUGAUUUCCUUAUGGGUUUCUGUUGGAUUAGUGUCUAAGUCCAUAACUAUUUUGGUAUGNNNNNNNNNNNNNNNNNNNNNNNNNNNNNNNNNNNNNNNNNNNNNNNNNNNNNNNNNNNNNNNNNNNNNNNNNNNNNNNNNNNNNNNNNNNNNNNNNNNNUGGCGAAGUGGUGUUGUUCUGUUUCAAAGGAAGUAGCCAGCUUCUUAACAACCGAAUUAACCUUCGCUGCAUUAGAUUCGGCUGCCCCAUGCAAAGACUCCAAAAAGAUGGUAGCAUCUCGAAAUAGUUUUUUGACUUUUUCGGUCGCAGCAACACAAGCCUUUGUUGAUGCAUCAAUAGCAACAAUAGCAGAGUUGAUGGAGGCUUCGUGUGCCUUGGUGAAAGUAUCGACCAUCCCCUGAAUGGCAGCUUCCGUAAUAUGGGACCGAGAGGAGGAGGAAGAAGCGACGAGAUUAUCAAUCUUCUCGUGAAGUUCCUUGAUGUGCUUUUUGNUUAUCAUCAUCAUCGUUGUGAACCUGGUAGGGACUGUAGUAAACUGAAUACGAAGGUUAUAUCUUCCCCUCCUAGAAAUGUCUCGGUUUCGGCUGAGGGAUUGGGAGAUAAAGGCGAUGUUGGAAGUUGGGUUGUGGGAGUAGGUUCGGGUGUGAAAGUGGGUUUGGUUGUAGGUGUGUGUUUGGGUGUUGAAGUACGAUCCCCGUAUCAGAUACGUUGGUUCGAAAUCCAGUGGUUGUUGUUUUUGUGGCUUCAUAGAAGAUGGGAGGUGGUAUAGGAAUAGAAGUGGGUGGAAUAUGAGUGGAGGAAGUUAUGGGGGGAAUGGAAAUAGGGAUAGUGAUAGGUGGAGAAGAGACAGGUUCGGUUGUGACUGGUACCUCAGGUGAAGGCGAACGGGGAGGAGAGUCGCCUCGAAUCGACCCCUCUGAGUCUGAACUUUCAUAGAAUAAGCUACUUAUGUCAAAGAGAAGGUGUAACCGAUUUUGGUUCAUGAGGGUUCUAUUUAUAGUGUUGCACAUGCUAGGGUUACACUUUGUAAACCCUAAUGACCCAUGACUUUCCACAUUCUCAUGGUCCAUGGAUUUAACCUUCAUGGACUAUCUAUUAGCCCACACUACAAGAAUCAUUGAUAUACAUUAUCAAUCCCAAUAUAUUUAAUUAGUCUCUUUUGACCACAAAAUUAAUUCCAAAUUAAUUCUUGAUCAAUACUAAUUAAAUAAUUUCAUAUAAAUGCAUUAUACUUGUAAUAUGUUAAUAAACCAAAAAUAACCUUAUUCUCAAAAGUCCAUCCUAUCAAAAGACAACCCAAAAGGACCAUGCUAGAAUCGGGUCAAGUACAUACCAGUUAUAAUUAUGCCCUUUGUGAGGGGGUCUGUUGGGUUGUCCUUUGACGAUAUCCCCUAUACCACGAGGUGCCUUCUUCUACUUGAUGUUUUAUGAAGUUGUAUUUCCUGAUGAUGUCUAGAUCUACCAUGAUCUCUCGGUUCCUUGGUUAAGGAAACCGCCCCUUCAUUAUCACAGAAAAUCUCCAUAGGCUCCUUUAUGGAUGGAAUGACUCCAAGGCCUUCGAUGAAGUUUUUCAACCAUAUCACCUCAUUCGAUGCUUCNUUUUUCAACCAUAUCACCUCAUUCGAUGCUUCGCUUGCUGCUAUGUACUCUGAUUCACACGUUGAAUAAGCUACAGUCUCCUGCUUGGAGCUUUUUCAUGUCACUGCUCCCCCAUUCAGGGUAAACACCUAGCCCGACUGAGAGCAGAAAUUAUCUCAGUCGGUUUGAAAGUUGGUGUCACUAUACCUUGUCACUCUCAAAUCAUCACUCCCACCCAAGGUAAGGAUCCAGUCUUUAGUCCUCCGUAGGUACUUAAGAAUGUUCUUAACUGCAGUCUAAUGAGCUUUACAAGGAUUCCCUUGAUAUCUACUGACCAUGCUCAAAGAAAAGGCCACNNNNNNNNNNNNNNNNNNNNNNNNNNNNNNNNNNNNNNNNNNNNNNNNNNNNNNNNNNNNNNNNNNNNNNNNNNNNNNNNNNNNNNNNNNNNNNNNNNNNCAAGUACAUACCAAAAUAGUUAUUGACUUAGACACCAAUCCAACAGAUUCUUCAUCCUUCUCCUCAUCUUUCUCCGCCAUUUUCUUCAACACACAAUCUUUUGCGUAGUGAUUUUUCCCUCCACAGUAAAAACAGCUGGCACCAGAAUCAGCUUCACCCUUCGCUUCUUUCUUUGGUUCUUCAACCUUCGGCUCCUCUUUCGCCUUUUCAGAGCUGUAGCUUCCCUGACAAUUACGGUUCUUGUUGGUGGGGAACUUCUUCUUGAUGAACCUCCUGGGAUUUAACACCAUCAUUGCAUAAUCUUCAGAUGUCAGAUCAUAGUCUCCCAGAUUCAGAUCUUCUUCUGCUGCUGCGCUCUUACCUUUAGACAGAAGGGCUAAAGACCCCAAGUUUGAAACCACGCACUUCUCUUGCAGCACAAUAUUUUCCUGGGAUUUCAGAAUCCCCACAAGUUUCGCCAAUGAAUAUGAUUUGAACUGCUCAUGUGCUUUAACCGUCGACACAACUGCCCUCCAUUCGGGUCUUAGGCCAUUUAAGAAAGUGACCUUCUGUUCGAUGAGCUUUCUUUCCAUGUCAUGUUUGAUCAUCUUACUGAGAAGAUGAUUGAACCGAUCGAACGUUUGUGUAACAACCUCCUCUGGCUUCUGCUUGAAAUCUCUAGG
rnacentral:lncRNA from 1 species